rnacentral:lncRNA from 1 species
CCACCAGGUGGGCAGAACCCACCUGGGCGUGCCAGGGAGCCCAGGCGCGCCCUGGUGGGUUGUGCUUCACCUCGGGCAUAAACACCGAAGACCGAAGACGGAACCCGAAAAGAUCGAGACCGAACCCGAAAAAACCGAACUAAAAAAGACCGAAUAAAAAAACGGUCUGCACCAUAAUAAGACCGAACUAAUUAUGGUAUGUUCGGUCCUCCUAACUUCAGGACCGAAUAUACCGUAUAGACCGAAUUUACAAAAGCCCAUAGAAUAGAGAACAAUGUUUACGCAAGGCCCAUCUGGCUAGCCCAAGGUCCCAAUCCAGAUACACACACGGAGACACCUCACGUCGUCAUCUCACGGUUCACAGGAAACCUAGCCCCCACCCGCCGCUUCGCUCAACUCCUGCUCUCUCCCACAAUGAACCCUAGCCGCCAUCCGCCGCUGUGGCCCGAUUCUCCCUUGCCGAUGAAGUUCGGCGCACCGAGGCUAGCCGCGCUCCGCUGACCGACGAAGACCAGCGUCCCCAGCCAUGGCCUGGACCAGUGACGACCAGUCAAACCCCAUCCAAGAUGCGCACCGCCAUGCCCCAUGCGUCACGCCGCCAACCCAAACCCUCUGCGUCGCUCCACUGCUCGUGACGCGUCCAUCCGUCGGUGUUGCUCCUCCUUCUUAGUCUCUGCCCAUCUUAGUCGUGGUCCUUCCAUCAACUCUGGCGGUGCUCAAGGUGUGUUUUCUUUCCCCUUUUUCCUUGAUAUCUCCCUCUGUUGAUCUCAGAUGUGAAUGGUUUUGGUUUGUAAGUUGCUACUUGCUAGAUACUGGAUAUACAUGUGAGAUCAGAAUGAUUGUAUUUGUCAGAUGUGCAUGACAGAUUGUAAUGAUUUUAUUUUAGGUGGAUGAAUCUUUGACUAUGCAGUGACAAAUCAUAGCCACUCGAACGUGAAAAAAUAUUUUGAAUGUGAUAUUGAAUUUUUAUUGGCCGCAUAUCAUAGGAGUCGUAGUCACUGUCCCCUUCCGGUGCUCCACCUCGAAGCUGAAGGUGAGCAAGCUACUUCAUCUCUCUAUGUACAUAUAUUCAUUUAUGUGCAUCAAUUAUAUUGUUCAUGUUUUGUGAUGUCUAGAUUUUCUGAUGUUCAAACUCAUGUAGAUGUAGUGGCUUGCUUGUAGGUGCUGCUAUUGGAACAAUCAUAGUUUUUUGUUGGUUUUUAUCUCCAUGGCAGAGUGUACCAUGCUAUUUUCAAUAUAUUAACUUGGAAUGGUUGCUGUGUAGAGAGGGUACAGACACACCAAUGUCAUUUCUUAGCUCUCAAUAAGAAGAUUUUCUAAAAUGUUUGCCAGAUUUGGAGCACUUGAUUAUAUGCACUUUAUGUUGUGAUUUGCUCAUGUCAAUGUUGCUUACAUGUGCUGUUGUUGAAAUAAUCAAUUUAUUUUUGUUGGUUUGUAUGUUCGUAUGUACUAUUGUUAGAUGGAAUCUUAUAAUAACGAGUAACUUCCUAUUUUUUUGUAGAUGUUUCCUACACCGGAAUCUGAUCAUGAUGAGGAGUUGAAUGAGAAAGAUGAUGCAUUUAUAAUUCUAGAGGCAGAGCUUGCCUAUUCCAUGGGCUGAUGUAGCUUGUUAUCUUCUUACUCUGUGUCAAAGAUAAAUGUUGUUGCUUGUAUCUUCUUACUUUGUGUCAAAUAUAAAUGUUGUUGUUUCACUUGCUCAUUAUCUUCUUACUUUCUGUAUAAUAUAAAUGAUUAUGUAUGCAUGAAUCUUGUUGUUGGACCAUGAAUCAUGAAUCUUCUUACUUCAUGCCAUAUGAAUCUUGUUACCUUCUGUCAAAUACAAACAUGAAUUGGUACUGGAAGUAACAUGAAUAUGAGUUGUACUAAUUAGUUUGGUCUGUUUGGUCGGGACCGAAGACCGAAUAGUAAAGACCGAAGACUGAAUAGUAGCUGAAAAUACCGAAAUUAUUUCGGUCUUCAGUUUAGGAGUACCGAAUUCUUGGAAGACCGAAAAGACCGGACCGAACAAACCGAAUGCCCAGGCUGAGUUGUGCUCACCCAGGCCCACCUCCGGUACCCAUCUUCUGGUAUAUAGGUCAUUUUGACCUAGAAAACAUAAGGAGAGGACUUUCGGGACGGAGCGCCACCGUCUUGAGGCGGAACUUGGGCAGGAGCACUUUUGCCCUCCGGCGAAGAGAUUUCGCCGGGGGAACUUCCCUCCCGGAGGGGGAAAUCAUCGUCAUCAUCAUCACUAACAACUCUCCCAUCUUGGGGAGGGUUAUCUCCAUCAACAUCUUCAACAACACCAUCUCAUCUCAAACCCUAGUUCAUCCCUUGUGUUCAAUCUUGUUACCGGAACUAUAGAUUGGUGCUUGUGGGCGACUAGUAGUGUUGAUUACAUCUUGUAGUUGAUUACUAUAUGGUUUAUUUGGUGGAAGAUUAUGUGUUCAGAUCCAAUAUGCUAUUUAAUACCCCUAUGAUCUUGAGCAUGACUAUCAUUUGUGAGUAGUUACUUUUGUUCUUGAGGUCACGGGAGAAAUCAUGUUGCAAGUAAUCAUGUGAACUUGAUAUGUGUUCGAUAGUUUGAUAGUAUGUAUGUUGUGAUUCCCUUAGUGGUGUCAUGUGAACGUUGACUACAUGAUACUUCACCAUAUUUGGGCCUAAGGGAAUGCAUUGUGGAGUAGCAAUUAGAUGAUGGGUUGCGAGAGUGACAGAAGCUUAAACCCCAGUUUAUGCGCUAUUCCGUAAGGGACUGAUUGGAUCCAAAAGUUUUAAUGCUAUGGUUAGGAUUUAUUCUUCAUAUUUUUCUUGUAGUUGUGGAUGCUUGCGGGAGGGUUAAUAAUUAGUAGGAGGUUUGUCCAAGUAAGAACAACAGCUAAGCACCGGUCCACCCACAUAUCAAAUUAUCAAAGUAGCGAACACAAAUCGAACCAACAUGGUGAAAGUGACUAGAUGAAAUUCCCGUGUACCCUCAAGAACGCUUUGCUUAUCAAAAGAGACCGUUUUGGCCUGUCCUUUGCCUCAAAAGGAUUGGGCUAUCUUGCUUGCCUUUUGUUACUACUAUCGUUACUUGCUCGUUACAAAUUAUCUUGCUAUCAAACUACUCUGCUACUUAUAAUUUCAGCACUUGCAGACAUUACCUUACUGAAAACCACUUGUCAUUUCCUUCUGCUCCUCGUUGGGUUCGAUAUUCUUACUUGUCGAAAAGAGCUACAAUUGAUCCCAUAUACUUGUGGGUCAUCAAGGCUAUUUUCUGGAGCCGUUGCCAGGAAGUGAAGCGCCUUUGGUAAGGAAUCAUUUAUAUAGUGUGCUAAAAAUUAUUGUCACUUGUUACUAUGGAAAACAAUCCUUUGAGGGGUUUGUUCAGGGUAUCUCACCUCGACCGGAACCACAAUUAGCUACCCCUCAACCUGCCGCACCUACUGAAAAUAUUGAAUAUGAAAUUCCUUCGGGUAUGAUAGAACAAAUGCUAGCUAAUCCUUAUGCAGGAGAUGGAACCGAACAUCCUGAUAUGCACUUGAUAUAUGUGGAACAAAUUUGUGGAUUGUUUAAGCUUGCAGGUUUACCCGGAGAUGAGGGUAUGAAGAAGGUUUUCCCUUUAUCUUUGAAGGGAAAAGCAUUAGCAUGGUAUAGGCUAUGCGAUGAUAUUGGAUCUUGGAAUUGGAAUUGAUUGAAAUUGGAGCUCCACCAAAAAAAUUAUCCUAUGCAUCUAGUUCAUCGUGAUCAGAAUUAUAUAUAUAAUUUUUGGCCUCGUGAAGGAGAAAAUAUCGCUCUAGCUUGGGGGAGGCUUAAGUCAAUGUUAUAUUCAUGCCCCAAUCAUGAGCUCUCAAGAGAAAUUAUUAUCCAGAAUUUUUAUGCUCGGCUUUCUCGUAAUGAUCAAACCAUGCUUGAUACUUCUUGUGCUGGUUCUUUUAUGAAGAAGACUAUUGAAUUCCGGUGGGAUCUCUUGGAAAUAAUUAAAUGCAAUUCUGAAGAUUGGGAACUCGACAAAGGUAAAGAGUCAAGUAUUAAACUUAAGUAUGAUUGUGUUAAAUCUUUUAUGAAUACCGAUGCUUUUCAAAAAAUUAGCACUAAAUAUGGACUUGACUCUGAGAUAGUAGCCUCCUUUUGUGAAUAAUUUGCUACUCAUGUUGAUCUCCCUAAAGAGAAGUGGUUUAAAUAUCACCCACCUAUUAAAGAAGAAAUUAAAGAACCGGUACCAAUUAAAGAAGAAACCAUAAUUUAUAAUGUUGAUCCAGUUGUUCCUUCUGCUUAUAUUGGGAAACCACCUUUCCGUGUUAGGAUAAAGGAACAUGCUAAAGUUUCAACUAUGGUUAACAAAGCUAUAUUAGAACACCUAAAGCUGAUGAACAAAUCAAAGUAGAACCUAGUAUUGCUAUGGUUAAAGAUCUCUUGGAAGAAGAUAUGGAUGGGCAUGUUAUUUACUUCUAUGAAGAAGCUGCUAGAAUUGCCAAACCUGAUAAAAAGGAUAAACAUAGACCUGUUGUUGGCAUGCCUGUUGUCUCAGUUAAAAUAGGAGAUCACUGUUAUCAUGGUUUAUGUGACAUAGGUGCUAGUGUGAGUGCUAUUCCUUACACUUUAUAUCAAGAAAUUAUGAAUGACACAACACCCGCAGAGAUAGAAGACAUAGACGUUACUAUUAAACUUGCUAAUAGAGACACUAUAUCACCAAUUGGGAUUGUUAGAGAUGUUGAAGUCUUGUGUGGGAAAAUAAAAUACCCUACUGAUUUUCUUGUUCUUGCUUCCCCACAAGAUGACUUUUGUCCCAUUAUCUUUGGUAGACCUUUCUUGAACACCGUUAAUGCUAGAAUAGACUGUGAGAAACAACCUGUCGGUGUUAGUUUUGGUGAUGAGUCUCAUGAGUUUCAUGGAAAAGAAUUGCCUAGUAAGGAUGAAAUAAUUGGUCUUGCUUCUAUUGCUGUGCCACCUACUAAUCCUUUAGAACAAUAUUUGCUAGACCAUGAAAAUGAUUUACAUAUGCAUGAAAGAAAUGAAAUAGAUAAGAUUUUCUUUGAACAACGUCCUCUGCUUAAACACAAUUUGCCUAUUGAAACUCUAGGAGGUCCUCCUCCACCUAAAGGUGAUCCUGUGUUUGAAUUAAAACAAUUGCCAGACACUUUGAAAUAUGCUUAUCUUGACGAAAAGAAGAUAUAUCUUAUUAUUACUGCUAACCUUUCAGAAGAUGAAGAAGAAAGAUUAUUGAAAGUUCUAAGGAAACACCGAGAUGCGAUGGGAUAUACUCUUGAUGAUUUAAAGGGCAUUAGUCCCACUCUAUGUCAGCACAAUAUUAAUAUGGAACCUGAUGCUAAACCCGUUGUUGAUCACCAACGUUGGUUAAAUCCGAAAAUGAAAGAAGUGGUAAGAACGGAAAUAUUAAAACUUCUGGAAGCAGGUAUAAUCUAUCCUAUAGCUGAUAGUAGAUGGGUAAGUCCUGUUCAUUGUGUCCCUAAGAAAGGAGGUAUUACUGUUGUUCCUAAUGAUAAGAAUGAACUUAUUCCACAAAGAACUAUUACAGGUUAUAGAAUGGUAAUUGAUUUUAGAAAAUUAAACAAAGCAACUAGAAAAGAUCAUUACCCUCUGCCUUUUAUUGAUCAAAUGCUAGAAAGAUUAUCUAAGCACACACAUUUUUGCUUCCUUGAUGGAUACUCUGGUUUUUCACAAAUACCUGUUUCUCAACGUGAUCAAGAAAAGACUACUUUUACAUGCCCUUUUGGACCUUAUGCUUAUAGACGUAUGACUUUUGGUUUAUGCAAUGCACCUGCUACCUUUCAAAGAUGUAUGACUACUAUAUUCUCUGACAUUUGUGAAAAGAUUGUUGAGGUUUUCAUGGAUGAUUUCUCUGUCUAUGGGAAGUCUUUUGAUGAUUGUUUAAGCAAUCUUGAUUGAGUUUUGCAGAGAUGCGAGCAAACAAAUCUUGUAUUGAAUUGGGAGAAGUGCCACUUUAUGGUUAAUGAAGGUAUUGUCUUGGGUCAUAAAAUUUCUGAACAAGGUUGAAGUGGACAAAGCUAAGGUUGAUGCAAUUGAGAAAGCGCCAUGUCCUAAAGAUAUCAAAGGUAUUCGUAGUUUCUUAGGUCAUGCCGGUUUCUAUAGGAGAUUUAUCAAAGACUUCUCUAAAAUUUCUAAGCCUCUUACGAAUAUUUUGCAAAAGGAUAUUCCUUUUGUUUUUAAUGAUGAUUGUUUAGAAGCCUUUGAAACACUAAAGAAAGCCUUAAUUUCUGCACCUAUUGUUCAACCACCUGAUUGGAACUUGCCUUUUGAAAUUAUGUGUGAUGCUAGUGACUAUGAUGUUGGUGCUGUUCUAGGACAAAGAGUUGAUAAGAAACUGAAUGUUAUUCAUUAUGCUAGUAAAACUCUAGACAGUGCUCAACGAAAUUAUGCAACUACUGAAAAAGAAUUCUUAGCAAUAGUGUUUGCUUGUGAUAAAUUUAGACCUUAUAUUGUUGAUUCAAAAGUAAUUGUUCACACCGAUCAUGCUGCUAUUAAAUAUCUUAUGGAAAAGAAAGAUGCUAAACCUAGACUUAUUUGAUGGGUUCUCCUGCUACAAGAAUUUGAUUUACAUAUCACUGAUAGAAAAGGAGCUGAGAACCCCAUAGCUGAUAACUUGUAUAGGCUUGAAAAUGUGCGUGAUUACCCACUACCUAUUGAUGAUAGUUUUCCUGAUGAGCAGUUUGCUGCAAUAAAUGUUGCUCAACUCCUUGGUAUGCUGACUAUGCUAAUUACAUUGUUGCUAAAUAUUUACCACCUAGCUUUACAUACCAACAAAAGAAAAAAAUUCUUCUAUGAUUUAAGACACUACUUUUGGUUUGACCCACAUCUUUAUAAAGAAUGAGUAGAUGGUAUUAUUAGACGUUGCGUACCUGAGCAUGAACAGGGACAAAUCCUAAGGAAAUGUCACUCCGAAGCUUAUGGAGGGCAUCAUGCUGGAGAUAGAACUGCUCACAAGGUAUUGCAAUCUGGAUUUUAUUGGCCUACUCUCUUCAAGGAUACCCGUAAGUUCGUCUUAUGUUGUGAUGAAUGCCUAAGAAUAGGUAAUAUCGGUAAGCGUCAAGAAAUGCCUAUGAAUUAUUCACUUGCUGUUGAGCCAUUUGAUGUUUGGGGAUUUGAUUACAUGUGACCUUUUCCUUCCUAUAAUGGGUAUACCCAUAUUUUGGUUGCUGUUGAUUAUGAUACUAAAUGGGUAUAAGCUAUUCCAACCAGUAGUGCUAAUCACAACACCUCUAUUAAAAUGCUUAAGGAAGUUAUUCCCAAGGUUUGGAGUCCCUGGAUAUUUAAUGACUGAUGGUGGUUCACACUUUAUUCAUGGUGCUUUUCGUAAAAUGCUUGCCAAGUAUGAUGUUAACCAUAGAAUUGCAUCACCUUAUCAUCCUCAGUCUAGUGGUCAAGUUGAACUUAGCAAUAGAGAAAUAAAAUUAAUCUUGCAAAAGACUGUCAAUAGGUCCAGGAAGAAUUGGUCUAAGAAAUUCGAUGAUGCACUUUGGGCUUAUAGAACAACAUAUAAAAAUGCUAUGGGUAUGUCUCCUUAUAAAAUGGUUUAUGGAAAAGCUUGUCAUUUGCCUCUUGAGUUAGAACAUAAAGCAUAUUGGGCAAUCAAAGAACCCAAUUAUGAUUUCAAACUUGCCGGUGAAAAGAGGUUAUUUGAUAUUAGCUCAUUAGAUGAAUGGAGAACCCAAGCUUAUGAAAAUGCAAAAUUAUUCAAAGAAAAAGUUAAACGAUGGCAUGAAAAUAGAAUCCAGAAGCGCGAGUUUAAAGUCGGAGAAUAUGUUCUUUUGUACAACUCUCGUUUCAGAUUCUUUGCGGGAAAACUCCUCUCAAAAUGGGAAGGCCCAUAUGUUAUCAAGGAGGUUUAUCUGUCUGGAGCCAUGAAAAUAAAUAAUGCUGAAGGUACUAACCCGAAGGUUGUCAAUGGGCAACGAAUAAAACAUUAUAUCUCAGGUACGCCCAUUAAUGUUGAAAGUAAUAUUAUCCAAACUUUGACACCAGAAAAACACAUAAAAGAGUCCUUCCGGAACACUCCGGAAUCGUGAGAAUAAGGAGGUACGUGAUACGGCAAGUAAACGGACUCCAAAAAUCCGCAAAAAUAUUUUUAGUCAGUUUUGGAAUAUUAAAAAAAAGGAAAAGAAGAAACUUCCAAGAACCGUACCCUGGUGGGCACAAGACACAAGGGCACGCUAGGCUUGCCAGGCGCGCUCGGGUGGGUUGUGCCCACCUGGGACACCUUCCGGACUCCGUUUUUCUAUAGUUUGCUUGUCCCCCAAGAUAAAAAAAAUCUUUAUAUACUUGCUACCUCUUGAGCAUGCGUUGGUUUUUACUUGAAGAGGAAAGGGUGAUGCAGCAAAGUAGCGUAAGUAUUUCCCUCAGUUUUUGAGAACUAAGGUAUCAAUCCAGUAGGAGACAACGCACAAGUCACCUAGUACCUGCACAAACAAUCAAGAACCUUGCAACCAACGCGAUAAAGGGGUUGUCAAUCCCUUCACGACCACUCGCAAACGUGUGAUCUAAUAAAGAUAGUAAAGUAAAUAUUUUUGGUAUUUUUGUUGUAUAGAUUGGAAAGUAAAGAGUGCAAAAUAGUAAACGAGAUGCGAUGUAAAUAAAAGAGAUACAAUAUAAUAAGAAAAAAACCCGGGGGCCAUAGGUUUCACUAGUGGCUUCUCUCAAGAUAGACGGUCGGUGAACAAAUUACUGCCGAGCAAUUGAUAGAAAAGUGCAUAGUUAUGAAGAUAUCUAAGGCAAUGAUCAUGAAUAUUGGCAUCACAUCCGUGUCAAGUAGACCGAAACGAUUCUUCAUCUACUACUAUUACUCCACACAUCGACCGCUAUCCAGCAUGCAUCUAGAGUAUUAAGUUCAUAAGAACAGAGUAACGCAUUAGGCAAGAUGACGUGAUGUAGAGGGAUAAACUCAAGCAAUAUGAUAUAAACCCCAUCUUUUUAUCCUCGAUGGCAACAAUACAAUACGUGCCUUGCUGCCCCUACUGUUACUGGGAAAUGGCACCACAAGAUUGAACCCAAAGGUAAGCACUUCUCCCAUUGCAAGAAAGAUCAAUCUAGUAGGCCAAACUAAACCGAUAAUUCGAAGAGACUUGCAAAGAUAUCAAAUCAUGCAUAUAAGAAUUCAGAGAAGAACCAAAUAAUAUUCAUAGAUAAUCAAGUUCAUAAAUCCACAAUUCAUCGAAUCUCGGCAAACACACCGCAAAAGAGUAUUAUAUUGAAUAGAUAUCCAAGAACAUCAACGAGAACUUUGUAUUGAGAAUCAAAGAGAGAGAAGAAGCCAUCUAGCUAAUAACUAUGGACCCAAAGGUCUGUGGUGAACUACUCACGCUUCAUCGGAGAGGCUAUGGUGUCGAUUUAGAAGCCCUCUGUGAUCGAUUCCCCCUCCGGCAGAUCGCCGGAAAAGGCCCCAAGAUGGGAUCUCAUGGGUACAUAAGGUUGCGGCGGUGGAAAAGUGGUUUCGUGGCUCCCCAUGAUUUUUUAGGAUAUAAGAGUAUAUAUAGGCGAAAGAAGUAUGUCGGUGAAGCUACGUGGGGCCCACGAGGGUGGGGGCGUGCCUACCCCCCUGGCGCGCCCUCCUGCCUCGUGGCCACCUCGUGGCGUUCCAGACUUCAACUCCAAGUCUUCUAGUUUGGUUUCGGUCCAAGAAAGAUCAUCACGAAGGUUACAUUCCAUUUGAUAUUCCUUUUCUGUGAAACACUAAAAUAGGCAAAAAAAAUAGAAACUGGCACUGGGCCUCCGGUUAAUAGGUUAGUCCCAAAAAUAAUAUAGAAGAGCAUAUUAAAGCCCAAUAAACAUCCAAAACAAAUAAUAUAAUAGCAUGGAACAAUAAAAAAUUAUAGAUAUGUUGGAGACGUAUCAAGCAUCCCCAAGCUUAACUCCUGCUCGUCCUCGAGUAGGUAAAUGAUAAAACAGAAUUUUUGAUGUGGAAUGCUACCUAACAUAAUUAUCAAUGUAAUUUUCUUUAUUGUGGCAUGAAUGUUCAAAUCCGAAAGAUUCAAGACAAAAGUUUAAUAUUGACAUAAAAAUAAUAAUACUUCAAGCAUACUAACAAAGUAAUCAUGUCUUCUCCAAAUAACAUGGCCAAAGAAAGUUCAUCCCUACAAAAUCAUAUAGUUUGUCUAUGCUCCAUCUUCGUCACACAAAAUGCUCAAAUCAUGCACAACCCUGAUGACAAGGCAAGCAAUUGUUUCAUACUUUAGUAUUCUCAAACUUUUUCAACUUUCACGCAAUACAUGACCGCGAGCCAUGGACAUAGCACUAUAGGUGGAAUAGAAUGGUGGUUGUGGAGAAGACAAAAAGGAGGAAGAUGGUCUCACAUCAACUAGGCGUAUCAAUGGGCUAUGGAGAUGACCAUCAAUGGAUAUCAAUGUGAGCGAGUAGGGAUUUCCAUGCAACGUAUGCACUAGAGCUAUAAAUAUAUGAAAGCUCAACAAAAGAAACUAAGUGGGUGUGCAUCCAACUUGCUUGCUCACGAAGACCUAGGGCAUUUUGAGGAAGCCCAUCAUUGGAAUAUACAAGCCAAGUUCUAUAAUGAAAAAUUCCCACUAGUAAAUGAAAGUGACAAAAUAAGAAACUCUCUAUCAUGAAGAUCAUGGUGCUACUUCGAAGCACAAGUGUGGAAAAAAGGAUAGUAGCAUUGUCCCUUCUCUCUUUUUCUCUCAUUUUUUUGGGCCUUCUCUUUUUUGGCCUUUCUCACUUUUAUAAAUAUAAAUAUAUAUUUAUUUCCUCACAUGGGACAAUGCUCUAAUAAUGAAGAUCAUCACACUUCUAUUUACUUACAACUCAAAAAUUACAACUCGAUACUAGAACAAAAUAUGACUCUAUAUGUGUGCCUCCGGUGGUGUGCCGGGAUGUGCAAUGAAUCAAGAGUGACAUGUAUGAAAAAAUUAAGAAUGGUAGCUUUGCCACAAAUAUGAUGUCAACUACAUGAUCAUGCAAGGCAAUAUGACAAUGAUGGAGCGUGUCGUAAUAAAUGGAACAGUGGAAAGUUGCAUGGCAAUAUAUCUCGAAAUGACUAUGGAAAUGCCAUAAUAGGUAGGUAUGGUGGCUGUUUUGAGGAAGGUAAAUGGUGGGUCUAUGGUACCGGCGAAAGUUGCACGGUACUAGAGAGGCUAGCAAUGGUGGAAGGGUGAGAGUGCGUAUAAUCCAUGGACUCAACAUUAGUCAUAAAGAACUCACAUACUUAUUGCAAAAAUCUAUAAGUCAUCAAAAACCAAGCACGACGCGCAUGCUCCUAGGGGGAUAGAUUGGUAGGAAAAAACCAUCGCUCGUCCCCGACCGCCACUCAUAAGGAAGACAAUCAAAGAAACACCUCAUGCUUCAAAUUUGUUACACAAUGGUUACCAUACGUGCAUGCUACGGGACUUGCAAACCUCAACACAAGUAUUUCUCAAAUUCACAAUUAAUCUACUAGCAUGACUCUAAUAUCACCAUCCUCGUGUCUCAAAACAAUCAUCAAGCAUAAAACUUCUCAUAGCAUUCAACGCACUUUAUAUGAAAGUUUUUAUUAUACCCAUCUUGGAUGCCCAUCAUAUUAGAACUAAUUUUAUAGCCAAAGCAAACUACCAUGCUGUUUUAACAGACUCUCAAAAUAAUAUAAGUGAAGCAUGAGAGAUCAAUAAUUUCUAUAAAAUAAAACCACCACCGUGCUCUAAAAAGAUAUAAGUGAAGCACUAGAGCAAAAUUAUCUAGCUCAAAAGAUAUAAGUGAAGCACAUAGAGUAUUCUAAUAAAUUCUGAUUCAUGCGUGUCUCUCCCAAAAGGUGUGUACAGCAAGGAUGAUUGUGGUAAACUAAAAAUCAAAGACUCAAAUCAUACAAGACGCUCCAAGCAAAACACAUAUCAUAUGGUGAAUAAAAAUAUAGCAUCAAGUAAAGUUACCGAUAGACGAAGACAAAAGAGGGGAUGCCUUCCGGGGCAUCCCCAAGCUUAGGAUUUUGGUUGUCCUUGAAUUUUACCUCGGGGUGCCUUGGGCAGCCCCAAGCUUAGGCUCUUGCCACUUCUUAUUCCAAAAUCCAUCAAAUCUUUACCCAAAAACUUGAAAACUUCACAACACAAAACUCAACAGAAAAUCUCAUGAGCUCCGUUAGUAUAAGAAAAUAAACCACCACUUUAAUGUACUAUAAUGAACUCAUUCUUUAUUAUAUUGGUGUUAAACCUACUGUAUUCCAACUUCUCUAUGAUUCAUACCCCCCGAUACUACUCAUAGAUUCAUCAAAAUAAGCAAACAACACACGAAAAACAGAAUCUGUCAAAACAGAACAGUCUGUAGCAAUCUGACUAAAUCGAGUACUUCUGGAACUCCAAAAAUUCUGAAAAUAAUUGGUGGACAUGAGUAAUUUUUCUAUUAAUCAUCUGCAAAAAGAAUCAACCUAAAAUCACUCUCCAGUAAAAAAUGGCAGCUAAUCUCGUGAGCGCAAAAGUUUCUGUUUUUUACAGCAAGAUCGCAAAGACUUCACCCAAGUCUUCCCAAAGGUUCUACUUGGCACAAACACUAAUUAAAACAUAAAAACCACAUCUAAAUAGAGGCUAGAUGAAUUAUUUAUUACUAAACAGGAAUAAAAAGUAAAGAACAAAAAUAAAAUUGGGUUGCCUCCGAACAAGCGCUAUCGUUUAACGCCCCUAGCUAGGCAUAAAAGCAAGAAUAGAUCUAGGUAUUGCCAUAAUAAUGAUAAGGCAAAUCGCGAAAACUCAUCUCAUACUCCCUAAGUUCAGCAGCAAGUUUCCUUUGUGGCAAGCAAAAGUAAUCAAAAGGACUAAAUUUAAUGGGACAAAAGUCCCCAAGAUCAAGCUCGGGAGGUAUUGGUUCCUCCUUUGGCCCCUCAUAUUGCACAACCAAUUCAUCAUUAUAAGAAGUCUUUUGGCAGAAAGUCAUGAGCCUUUGUUCAAGAGAAAAACCUAACCCAUUAUUCUGAAUAGCAAAAUUAUCAUUAACUUAAAAAAUCCUAUCAACUAGAACAUCGGUGGGAACCUUUUUUCUAAGGUCUUCAUUAUAAGCAACAUGAUCUAAAGAUCGUAAACGCAUUAUGUCUUCUUGAUUAAAAAGGAUUGCUUCUAUGGGAGGACCGCCAGCAUCCACCCUAUAAUGCGCCAAAAUUUCAUUGGCCUCUUUUAUUAUAAAUUUGAACUCAUGUGUGAGGGAGUCCUGGACUAAGGGGUCCUCGGGCGACCGGCCUAUUGGACAUGGGCUGGACUGAUGGGCUGUGAAGACACAAGACCGGAUGGGACUCUCCUUGGCUUAUAGGGCAAGCUUGGCGACCGGAUAUGAAGAGUCCUUUCUCUGUAACCAACUUUGUACAACCCUAGUCCCCUCCGGUGUGUAUAUAAGCCGGAGGGUUUAGUCCGUAGAGGCAAUCAUAAUCAUACAUGCUAGACUUCUAGGGUUUUAGCCAUUACGAUCUCAUGGUAGAUCAACUCUUGUAAUACUCAUAUUCAUCAAGAUCAAUCAAGCAGAAAGUAGGGUAUUACCUCCAUAGAGAGGGCCCGAACCUGGGUAAACAUCGUGUCCCCUGUCUCCUGUUACCAUCGACCUUAGACGCACAGUUCGGGACCCCCUACCCGAGAUCCGCCGGUUUUGACACCGACAUUGGUGCUUUCAUUGAGAGUUCCACUGUGACGUUGAAGACAUGAUCGAUGGCUCGCCUUGUUAUCAAGGACAGUAUCACCUCCGGAGGAGCACUGGCCCCAGGCCAAACCCUCCGUCUUGGCGGCCUUACCAUGACCGCCCGUUAGGCCAUUAAGCCGACGAUGACUUCUCGGGUCAUCAAAAAUCCUCUCCGUGUUGACUCCAAAUACUCCAAGCAGAUGGAUCUGGCGAAGUUGUCGUCUUUGAAUGAGCUCCUAGAUCGCAUCGCCACCUUGGGGGUCGCUACAGACUACGAUCGGAUUGGGCUUAAACCCGACCAAAGAGAAAUUAAAUCUCCACAGAUCACCCACCAGAUAGCGGUAGUAAAGGAGCAAGACGACGACUCUUCCUCUAUACUGAGGAUGAACUAUGUUCGGAUCUCCGAGCUCGAAGAGACGGAUACCUGCCUCCGCAAAGACACGCCCUGCCUUCCGAACCUAGAAUCGGACGACGGGCCUGAAAAAUCAGUUGGUAUCCCGGGGCCCGAGCUAUUGAGUUCGGAAGUUUUUCAAACUUCGGAUCCCAAAGUGGGUCAGGAUUCGGAUUUAAAGCCACCCACCCACCCAGAUAUAAACGAUCUCAGGCACAUACGCCAGCAGUCUCAGGAAACAGUCCAUCACUUUUGGGCCAGAUUCCUCCUUGUCAAAGACAAGAUUAAAGAUUGUCGCGACAUAGACGCGAUCGCAGUAUUCAGCAAUAAUUGCACGGACGAAGGAAUCCUCCACACCAUCAACCGUCGUCGCGUAUUACACUUCGCUAACUUGACAACCAUAGUAUAGAAGUACUUCGCAAUGGAAAGCGCCUGGAAAACCCAGGCAGCUCGCUGGGAACCACCGGUUUCCACUCAACCCCCCGUCCGGGCAAACAGGAUGCACCCUCGCGGGGCGCCCGACCCAACAGUAAAGAAAUCUAAGCCCAUCACAGGGCGCGGAGCUGUUCUGGAGGGAUGGCUCGAUAGGCCAUGCAAAAUACACACAACACCAGAGGCCAUACCAACCCAUAGCCUUAGAGCAUCUUGGAUACUCCGGCAAGUGGCCAAGAGCGGCGAGGAACUCCUCACUACAAAUACCUCAGUUCAACACUCCUUGGAAGACGACGACCUCAGAGUACUGACGGUCUUUGAAACCUUCGAUUCAAAUAACAGGCGCAAAAGGGCACUCCAUGAUCUCGCAGAAGUCUGCCAAGUUGCAGCAAUAAACCCCUAGAACACGACCAUAACUUUCAAUGCCGGUGACGAACCAAAAUUCAGGAUAGUCCGGGCACCAGCCGCCUUGGUCCUUAGUCCAAUCAUGGACGGCUUUUGGCUUACCAAAGUGCUCAUGGACGGCGGCAGCGGACUAAACCUCAUCUACAAGGACACACUCAAUAAAAUGGAAACAGACAGGAGCCGCAUCGAGCAAAGUAGCACGACCUUCCGAGGAAUUAUUCCCAGUCGGGAGGCGCGAUGCGCGGGAAAAAUCACACUCGACGUGGUAUUCAGCACGCCGGAGAAUUAUCGGUCUGAAGAAAUAACCUUCCAAGUGGCCCCUUUCAACAGUGGAUAUCACGCCCUAUUGGGGCGAGAUGCAUUUACACGCUUCCAAGCUAUACCUCAUUACGGGUACAUGAAGCUCAAGAUGCCCGGGCCCAAUGGCAUAAGCACUCUUGCCAGUGAUCCGAACAUAGCACUCCGUGCCGAAAAUAAAACGGCAUCCCUGGCCCUCGAGGCAUUUUCUGAAGCGCUCGCGGCCGAAGAAUGAACUGCACUACGCUCCACGGUGGAUAGGGACGAUGUAAUCCUGGACAAACGACCCAAAUCCACCUCCUUUAUACCAGCAGAGGAAAUAGUCAAAUUUCAAGUCCACCCAACGGACCCCAAGAAGACAGCAUCCAUCGAGGCACAACUGGACCCAAUGGUCGACGCGCGCUGCGGGAGUUCCUGCGUGAGAACUGGGACAUAUUCGCCUCGCACCCUUCUGAUAUGCCAGGAAUCCCACGCAGGUUGGUGCUACCUCUUGAGCACUGUGUUGGUUUUCCCUUGAAGAGGAAAGGGUGAUGCAGCAAAGUAUCGUAAGUAUUUCCCUCAGUUUUUGAGAACCAAGGUAUCAAUCCAGUAGGAGACUACACGCAAGUCGCCUCGUACCUACACAAACAAAUAAGAACCUUGCAACCAACGCAAUAAAGGGGUUGUCAAUCCCUUCACGGCCACUUGCAAAAGUGAGAUCUGAUAGAGAGAAUAAGAUAAAUAUUUUUGGUAUUUUUUAUGAUAAAGAUUGAAAGUAAAGAUUGCAAAGUAAAAUAGAUUGGAAACUUAUAUGAUGGAGAAUAGACCCGGGGGCCAUAGGUUUCACUAGUGGUUUCUCUCAAGAUAUCAUAAGUAUUACGGUGGGUGAACAAAUUACUGUCGAGCAAUUGAUAGAAAAGUGCAUAGUUAUGAGAAUAUCUAGGCAUGAUCAUGUAUAUAGGCAUCAUGUCCGCGACAAGUAGACCGAAACGAUUCUGCAUCUACUACUAUUACUCCACACAUCGACCGCUAUCCAGCAUGCAUCUAGAGUAUUAAGUUCAUAAUAACAGAGUAACGCAUUAGGCAAGAUGACAUGAUGUAGAGGGAUAAACUCAAGCAAUAUGAUAUAAACCCCAUCUUUUUAUCCUCGAUGGCAACAAUACAAUACGUGUCAUUUCCCUUUCUGCCACUGGGAUCGAGCAACGCAAGAUUGAACCCAAAGCUAAGCACUUCUCCCAUUGCAAGAAAGAUCAAUCUAGUAGGCCAAACUGAACUGAUAAUUCGAAGAGAGUUGCAAAGAUAUUAAAUCAUACAUAAAAGAAUUCAGAGAGAUUCAAAUAUUGUUCAUAGAUAAUCUUGAUCAUAAACCCACAAUUCAUCGGAUCUCGACAAACACACCGCAAAAAGAAUUACAUCGAAUAGAUCUCCAAGAAGAUCGAGGAGAACUUUGUAUUGAGAUCCAAAGAGAGAGAAGAAGCCAUCUUGCUAAUAACUAUGGAACCGAAGGUCUGUGGUAAACUACUCACACAUCAUUGGAGAGGCCAUGGUGUCGAUGUAGAAACCCUCCGUGAUCGAUUCCCCCUCCGGCGAAGCACCGGAAAAGGCCCCAAGAUGGGAUUGUUGGGGAACAUAGUAAUAAUUCAAAAUUUUCCUAUGUGUCACCAAGAUCAAUCUAGGAGAUGCUAGCAACGAGAGAGAGAGGGAGUGCAUCUUCAUACCCUUCAAGAUCGCUAAGCGGAAGCGUUACAAGAACGCGGUUGAUGGAGUCGUACUCGUGGCGAUUCAAAUCGCGGAAGAUCCGAUCAAGCGCUGAACGGACGGCGCCUCCGCGUUCAACACACGUACAGCCCGGGGACGUCUCCUCCUUCUUGAUCCAGCAAGGGGAGAGGAGAAGUUGAGGGAGAACUCCAGCAGCAUGACGGCGUGGUGGUGGAGGAGCUCGUGGUUCUCCGGCAGGAAUUCGCCAAGCACUACAGAAGAGGAGGAGGAGUUGGAGAAGGGGAGGGCUGCGCCAGGGGAAGGGUGCAGCUGCCCUCCACUACGAAAAAAAUACACUUCCGUGAUGAUACGUGUUUGUCACAGUAGGUCACGUUUUCUGUCAUGCAUGUACAUCCAUGACAAAUUUAUGACAGAAUCAAGAUAGUCAUACCUGUGCUGUCAUAGAAGUGUUCCAUGACAUUACCAAAAUUAUCAUCACGGAAGUGUCCACCUCCAUGACGAUAAAUCGCGCGGCACAGAAGUGCUUUCGUCAAGGGUGACCGACACGUGGCAUCCAUCGUAACGGAACGCCGUUAAGCUAUCGGGUCCGGUUUUGGAUCCGAUAACCCGUUAACAGCCCCGACCAAUGGGGAUUUUCCACGUGUAAAAUCAUCAUUGGCUGGAGGAAACACGUGUCGGCUCACCGUUGGGACAGAUGUCAUCCACUCAUUGGACCCAAAGCGCCUAUGAUACGUCGACACGUGGCACGGCCCAACAGAGGCCCAUUCCUAUGAAAAGGCCGGCCCAUUUGACUUGGUCAAAAGGUGGCGGGCCGGCCCACGGUAAGCCUGUUAACGGCAUGUUCGCAUAUAGCCCAUUUACAGCCCGCUAACCCAGGACCGGUUUACGGCCUAUCCGAAUUAGGCCCAGUAGCGUCAUCUGGGCCAUCCAAUAUAAUUCCAGCCCAUUUUAACUUCCGGCCCAUGUAUGGCCCAUGACGUCUUUCGGCCCAUAUGAGGCCCUUAGUAACUUCGGCCCAUUAACGGACCGUGGUAAAACUGGCCCGUAAUGAACAGUGUAUCACUUUAUACCCAUUAAUGACCCGUGGUAAAACUGGCCCGUAAUGAACAAUGUAUCACUUUAUACCCAUUAACGACCCAUUAUUCAGUUGGGCCGUUUCCAGCCCAUGUUAUCUUUUGGCCUUCUCAGGGCCCAUUUAUUCUUGGGCUCAUUUCCAACAUUAGCUUACUUACGGCCCGUUACCGUCAUUUUCUGCUUGUGGGCCAAAUUCAGCCCGUGGUUACAGUCGACCCGUUUGUGGCCCGUUAAUACGUUGGGCCGUUUUCAUAGCGUCAUCAAAUAUGGCCGAUUAAUGACGACCCGUUAUGGUCAGCCCAUGAACGGACGAUUUCAACUCUAGCCCAUUUACGGCCAUAAUGUGGUCUGUUAUUGGCCCAUGUUUGGCCAACCGAUCAUACGGCCCGUAGAAGGCCCAUUAUGUCUACAACCCGUAUAAGGCCCAUUGUUUCUACGCCCCUUAGAAGGCCCAUUGUUUCUACGGCCCAUAGGAGGCCCAUGUUAACUAUAGUAAAUAUGUAGCCCAUGGUUAAUGUGGCCUAGUUUUAAAAAAUAGGUUAUUGCGGCCACUAGCAAACCGCGGAAGAACUGCACAGACUACAAGAAAACAAAUAAACAAGACAAUAAGGAAAUAAAUAAGCAAGCAACUUACGCUAGGCUAUCACGGCUAUUACACAUAUUACAUCCACUGGGCAUCAAAGUUCGCCACCAGUGCAAAUAUAGGGAACACCCUACACUAUACAAAAGGAAGGUUGGCAUAAAAGUUAACAGUCUAGCAGAUAAAUGCACCACCAGAAGUUCAGAAGCUCAGUUCAUUUGACCUGACUGUUACGUUUUCAUGCUGUAUUGUCCGAUGGAGCACCAUAACCUUCGCCUUCAGUUCUCCUAGGCUCCUGAACAACAUAACAAAUGUCUGAUAGUCUGGUUUCAAAACCAUGCAUAUCUUGACAACAUCGAACAAUGUCUCUCCUUGUUUCACAAAGGGUCUCUGUUAGGGAAUGGACUUGUGUCUGGAGCGCAGAUACAACAUUGUUUUGAGCCUGCAUAUCUUGAUCAUGAGGCAGUUUGGACGAGAUUGCCUUAACAACCAAGCCAGUAUUACGCAGGAACGUGCUUUUGGCACUGUUAGUGGACAGGUACUGACCCACUCCAGCAAGAGCUGACAUUGCGGUUAUAGUUGCCUCGCCACCUUCAGAAGGUGGCGGUUCCACCAUUUUUUCCAUAGCUCGCUGAAAAGUUGAGGUUUUACAUUAGUAGUACCAGAACAGAAUAUAUUAUGGAGGCAGCAAAACCAAACAAAAUAGCUUUGGUCUAUAUACAGAACUUAUUCUGGUGAACCCAUGUAAAAUAAUAGUUGUAUUUUAUUGCAAAGUACAUAAUAAAACCAGGUUCCAAACAUAUGACCAUGUACCAUCGCUAAUGUAUUGUCUAUUUCUUCACAUUGUAUUGAGGGCUAAGGAUAAAGAGACAAAGUUUAUAAUACGGUAAGCAUAGUAUGACAUCAUUCAUAUCACAAAACAACUGAGAACAGACAAACAUGCAAUUGUAAUGUUGUGUGGGCAAGUCCAGCACGGAACUAGAUUACAGGUCAAGAUCAAAGGAACAUCACUCCUCUCUUUGAAACCUUGUAAGGUGCAAUGAUACGCUAAGACAACUGUGUAUAAAAUUGAAAAGAGUAAUAGACAUUGGCUGCAAACCAUGCAGUUCAAGGCACAAGUCAGAGUAAGUAGUAGUUAAAAGGCAUGAGGAUUAAGGACUUACAACAGCGGCUUUGGCUGGUGUAGUCAUGCCCUUCUUGCUGGUGUGACAGUCCUUGAAGAUUUCCACAUCAUUUGGUUUAGGUACUUUUUGGUCCUUGCGGGCUUUCCUCUGCAUUUGGAACAAGUCAAUAUAGAUCUGAUAAUAUGGUAUAGCGAAAAGAGUGAAAUAGCAGCUAAUUACAAGAGCCUCGCAGUGUGCAAUAUAGCUACGAGAUCCUGUCGUCUGUUGGAAUUUCACUUUCGUACGGUUGGCCUUGUUCUUUGAACAGUUCAGCUACAAGAAGAUAGAUUUGGGUGGCACAUGCGUAAAUAGGACUUCAACAUGUGAUCUGAUCACAUAUAUAUAAUGUACCUGAUACUUUGAAUCAGACCAGUGUUUAACGAGGCCUCUCCAGUCUUCAUCAGAUAUAUUUUCCACUGGAGAUGUUUGGGCAAGUUCACUAUUAGCCUUGCCUUCAAAGUGAGUUUUCCUCAAGUUAUACCAAUACUGUCGCAGAGCAGACUUGAAAACAUGGGUGCAAGCUUGUCUGGUUGCAUCAUCUUGGCUAUCCAACUUGAACCUCAUCUGUUGAAAAUUAUGGGAGUCUCAUUAUCAGCAACCUAGAAAGUAUUAGACAGAGCACGACGAUAUUACUAGUUUCCAUACAUAAGCAUACUUACAGAUAAAUGGUCGAGGAAGGUGUUGAACUGGGUUUCGUCUUUCUCAUUCAUGUACUGAAUCCAUGUUGGGAGGAUACGUACAUGACACCUAACAACAACCGUUGCCUCUGAUACUAACUUGGCUGACUCUGUAGCAUCACGUGGCCUUUUUAAACCUGCCUCAAUACGGAUCUCCAUUCUUCCUCCUCUAGAUUUAGUUAACCUAUCGAGCAUUAUCCCUGAUGUUUGUUUCCUCUUGCGCCUAGGUGCUAGUCCAACAACAAACAUAGGAAGUGUUAGUGUACAUCAAACUGUGAGACUACAUAUAAAGAAGCAUGCAACUGUAACUUGACUCCAGCAACUACCUUCUUCCUGUUGAAGCUCACAAAGUUCAUCUGAUCUUGCCAACUCAUCUUGUGUCAAGAGUGCUUCAGAAGUAGUGUCAGGUGGCAAGGGAGCUUGGGAACGUGCUGCUAGCUGAGUUGACCAACGAGUAAAUCGUGCAGCUGGUGGUACUGUGGAAGGUGUUGCAACAACUAGGAUUUUCUCUGCUUGUUUGGUGGCAGCUAUUUGUUUCUGUUUGGCUUAUUCUGCAGCUCGUUUAGCACGGGAUACCCUGUCGAUACAAUUUUCCGCUGGACUGUGACCUUCUAUUGCACCAUCAGUACCAGCAGAAUCAGCAGGAUUCUUCCGCUUCCCUUUCCCUGUUGUUCUGUCUUGCUUCCUCUUUCUCUGUGACAUGUUAAGUCAAGCCGACAAGAAAAACGAAUAACAAUUUAGUUCUUCAGAACAAAUUGAUGCGUGAUACAGACGAACUGAACUUUGAUGUUAGACAACCACAUGAUAGAGGAUGUAAUAUGUAAGAAAAACAGGACGGCAUGAGAUAACCAGAACUAUGAUGUGUAAACUAAGCAGAAGACAUUUCACUAAAUUAGAAGCAAUGCAAUGGAAGGUAGACACCAUAUGAAAGUUGCUACAAAUAUCGCUCUGCCAAGUUAACAGUGUCUCAUCAUAAAUACCAUUUAAACAAAUGUGAAGCAGUACAAGAAAUAAAUCAUAUGCAAGAUGCAAACAACAUCACACUAUCAAGUUAAAGGUCUCUCGUCAUUAGUGCCAUUACAUAUUCACAGCAUUGCAUAUUCACAGCUUAUGAUGUGUAAACUAAGGAGAAGGCAUUUCCACAAAUUAGAAGUAAUGAAAGCUAGACACCAUAUGAAAGAUGCAACGAAUAUCACUCUACCAAGUUAAAACUGUCUGGUCAUAAGUGCCAUUUCAACAAAUUAGUAGUACAAGCUAGAAAAGAAUGCGAGAUGUAACCUAUAUCACACUCCGAAGUCAAACGUAUCUUAUGAUAAGUGAUUGUUGCAGGUUACACAAUAGUAGUAAUUUGAUGUAAGAACAUGGUGUGAUAGACAUAUAUUGUAUGUUCUAGAAACAGGAACACGUGUCUUAUUCAAGUAUAAUGUGUAAAGUAAGCAGAUGGAAUUCAACAAAAUUAGAAGCAAUACAAGCUAGACAUCACACAUAACAUGCAACCACAUAUAACAGUGCCAAGUUAGAGGGAGCACCGGUGAUGGUGCACUAGGGGAGAUGUGCUCAUCAUAAACACAGCUACGUUGAGUGUCUAUGCAUGUGUUGUCUUGGAAAUCAUUUUGGGGGGAUGGAGGAGUAGAAACUGUAGAGGCCCUCCGUUUGGAAGGAGCACCUUUAUCCGCUGCCUUGCUAACUUCCUUCCGCUUUAUUGAUUUUGAAUUGUCAAGUAAAACCGACAAGAAAAAGCAAUAAAAUUCUCUCUUCAGAACUCAUUCAUGCAUGAUACUGACAAUCACUACUUUGAUGUAAGGCAAACACAUGAUACCAGGAUGGAAUAUGUACGAAAAACAGGACGGCAUGGCACGUUCACAACUGUUUGUGUAAACUAAGCAGAAACCAUUCCAACAAAUAUGAAGCAAUGCAAGCUAGACACCACAUGAAAGAUGCAACCAAUAUGACUCUGCCAAGUUAAAAGCGUCCCAUCAUGAAUGGAAUUUCAACAAAUUAGAAGCAGCGCAUGCUAUAAAUCAUAUGAAAGAUGCAACUAAUAUCGCACUGCAUAUACUAAAGGUGUCUCGUCAUAUUGAUUGAUGCGGGAUACAAAAAAACAAUAGUUUUAUGUAAGGACAUGCUUAAUAGACAGAUGUACUAUGUACUAAAUACAGGAAGGCAUGUCACAUUAACAGGUAUAAUGUAUAAGCUAAGCAGAAUAGCACAUUCAGUUUAACCAGAUUGGAAGAAUUACAAUCUAGACACCAUAUGCAACAUGCAACCACAUAUCACGCUGCCAAGUUAGAGCAAGCACCUGCGAUGCUAGUGUAGGGGAAAUGCGGUAAUCAACUAUAGAGCUACGUUCACUAUCUUCAUCUAGCCUUGCUGUUUAUUGAGAAUCAUGUCGGUAGGCUGACGCUCCAUUCUUUAAAUGAGGAGUAAUCCACUUGCCUGACUGCCUCAUCAUAAGUGAUUGAUGAGGGAUACACAAGAACAUUAGUUUGAUGUAAGAACAUGGUUAAUACACAGAUGUACUAGUAUGUACCAAAAACAGAAAGGCAUGUCAUAUUCAAAGGUAUAAUGUGUAAGCUAAGCAGAUGCAAUUUAACCAAAUUGGAAGCAAUACAAGCUAGACAUCCGGCUGGAGUGGUGAGCAUGAUCAUCUAGGACCUGAGAGCCUGGUGGGAGGUGGGCUGCUUCGCCACCAUCGCAGCUUUUUAGUUGGCUUCCAGGUGAUGCCUCUCUUUGCUGGGCUUGUCACUGGCUCGCCUAGUGCCCUGACUAGCUAUUUGUCUUCUGGUGCUCACGGGAUGGUGGUUCAUGUAAAAAAUAUCUUUCCUUAUCUUAAUAAAGACCGACUUCGGCCUUUCGAAUACAAGCUAGACACCAUAUGGAACAUGCAACCACAUAUGACACCGCGAAGUUAAAGCAGGCACCUGGGAUGGUGGUUCAUUGCGAGCGAGGUCACCAACUCCAGAGCUACGUUUACUGUCUCCAUCUGCUGACACUGCACCUAUUAUAAGGCUGAAACGUGUCUGGCCUAUCCGCGUACGACGCUGGAGCGACUUCUCUCUUUUCUUUUUUCCUUCUCUCAUAGCAGCAGAGUCUCAAAUACCCUUGCAUAAAAACGCAAUAGUGAGAGUAUGGGUGAAGUGUGUGCAAUACUAGUGCACUGUAAAAGUAGCAGAUAGCAGGUGGCUGAAAAAUAAGUGACAGGAGACAUAUGAUAGCUCUACAACAUUGCAUGGCAAACAAAAUUAGAUUCUACUCCGUAUGAUUUUGUAAUAUAUGAGCAUAGGAAAUGCAGGUACUCCUCCAGCACACCACCACAUGUGGUCAUAUCAAGAUAACAGUCAACUGAAAAUUAGAUUCUACUCCGUAUGAUUUUGUAAUAUAUGAGCACAGGAGAUGCAGGUACUCCUCCAGCAUACCACCACAUGUGGUCAUAUCAAGAUAACAGUCAACUGAAAAUUAGAUUCUACUCAGUUGAUUUUUUUAAUGAACCGUCCGAUCUAUAAGGAACGGGCAGAUGGCCUUCGUCUACCUCCCACCAGUCACUGUUGACGAUCUUUCUCGAACCGCCAGCGACCACCGGCCCAGACCCCUACCUCCGCUACCCCGCCCUCCCCUCGACCUCACACCACCGCCGUGCUUGGCAGCGCCCCCAGGCCAUCCCUUUAAUCCCGGCUGACCUCCAGAUCGGGCGCCAGUAGCUCUAGGCCCCACACUCCCUUAAGAUAAACACCGAGGCGCUGCUUCCCCGGCAUAAUAGGCGGACUAGCGCCUGUUACGCCGGGGAAUGCUUCCGUUAAUUGGGAAUCAACUGACAAGGAAUUGAAAUUAGGGGGGCGACGGACCUCUAGCUAAGGUGAAACAGUAUAUGAGGAGAAACCUUGUGCAUCGCGAGUUACUAGGAACAUCUAGUAUCAAGAAGAAGUGGUCAACUAGUGUCUUCUCUGGGAUGAAUACCGUGCAAGCAGACACGUAAGAUUUGCACGAAUAAGGGAAGAGGAGUACCAUUUUCGGUCGCCGGUGUGGUCACCUCCACAUGUCGCGCCGAUCUUCUUCUUUUUGCCGGGGAAACCGAUGUUCUGGAGGAGGGUGCAGGCUUGGACGAACCCAUGGCCAAAUUGUUGACUGUGUUGCCAUGGCCAUAUGUCGGCGGAGGGGAAGCAGAUCCGAGGCGGCGAAGGACGGUGUAGCAGGAACAGCUCCGGUGCAGUGGAGGGUGGCGAAGUUGGAGCGACAGCGGUGAGGCGCAGGAUGGCGUGGUUGAACUGGCUCGGGUACGGACGGCUCGGCCUCGUCUUCAACUACUAGCCGUGGAGGGCGUUGCAGUUGAGGUUGCGGUGGGACGUCGGGGUAUCGGCUCCGGCGUGAUGGAGGAGGGCGGCGGUUGAUGGGUGGAAUGGGUUGGCGGACGGAGGACGCCGGGGUUUCGCGGCUGGUGGAGAGGUAGUUUUUGCACCCACGGAGUACGAAUGGGGAAUCAGACGGGUGGGCGGGGGAGGGGGAGAACCAUGUUUCGGUCUGGGACGUGCUUGUUUUUGGCUUUUUUGAACAGAAGAUGGGACGCGCUUGUUUGAAAUUUUGGGAAAGUACAAACUUUUCCCCCCUCUUAAAUUUCAGACCUACUGCGGGUUGGGGGUAGGAUGGUAAUCCCAGGUGUCCCAAAUAGUGGGCGGGGGCGAUUUCGGCCGCGCGCAUGUGUGCUUAGGCGGCCAUUGUGUAUGAAUGUUUUUCGGAGGCGGUUGCAUGGCGUCUGGAUGAAGCUACAAACCUACCCCGGUUUAGACCUUUGGACGCCGGGCCGGUAGGUUUCACGGGUCGGAGUUAUUAGAAAAGUAAUUUCCUUUUACUACCAAACAUUGGUCUCACACGGUUUCAGGCGAGUAGAGGCUCUUUUGGCACUUCGUUCGAAAUUUUGAAACACAAGCAUUCACGUUUAGAGUACUCUUGAACUUUGAGGAUUGACCUAAAUAGACAACGUUAAAUUUGACCUUGUAUGUUUGAAAACCUCAUAAAAUUAUCCGCUUCUUUUUGAAAUUUUGACACUUGAAAAUCCUAUAACUACGAUUAUUUUGGAAUGGAGGAGCUAAAUUUGAAUCUAUUUUGUAAACGAUUACAUAUGCUAUUAUGUACAAAAUCAGAGCAAAGAUUGGUGCCGCCAUAAUUUAGGUAUGAUUUACAAAUGCCAUGAUAUCAAAUUCAAAUAAUUGAAUGGACUUCAUGUUGAAUUCAAUUUUUUUAAACCACCUUAAGUUGAAUUCAAAUGUAUGCUAGUUCAUAGGUAGCUAUUUAUAAUGUUCAUUGUGUAACUUUCGUAUGUAUAAUGUGCUUUACACACACAACAUGAACUAUACUCACGUUUAUAUUCGAUUGCUAAAGCGAUGCAUUGUAUGGAGUUCAAAAUACUAACUAUGUGGAUCAAUUGUGUCAAAUAAUAACAUAGACAUGCUCAAAUUCGAUAGAAUCUAGAUGUCUGAUGGAUCAAUGACCGUUCCUUACGCAAAUUGCAAAUAUCACGAUCCCAUCCUAAUAUUUGGAUACAAUUUAUAUCUUUAAUCAAUGUGUACAACAGUCUUGUACGUGUAGUUUCACUCUCCAUCGGUGGUCUCUCACACAUGCUCACACACUCUCUCCCGAGGUGUCUUUCUCGCACACAUGCUCUCGAUAUAACCCUCCCCCUCUCGUAACCAUUUACGACUGUUUUCACUAACCUUUAUCACAAGCACUCUUCCUCUCGCAAGCAUACACACGCAUAAUCCCCAUCGACCCUUUCUAUAUACAUAGACCUGCCUACGUGUCUCCUGUAUGCACAUUAUCUUUAGGCCUGUCUCUCACGCAUUGUCUCACACCUCUCUUCCUAAUCGACGAGUAUGAUUCUAGCAGAGCAUUCUGUACGAUGCCCCUUAAAGUUAGGUUGGAUGAAUAGUAAUAUCAGAGAUAAAGGGGUUACCUUAGUCCGAGAACCUAGGGUUACAAAUCCUAGACGGCUUUGUCAGUGGACAUAGACUCCUUCACAAUUAUGCUAUCUUUGUCUUGUACGACUAGUCAUCCAUGGGUCUCCCUAAAUGCGUCACGGGCCGACCAAUGUGGCGCAGGACAGAACCGAACGAAGGGCCUCACCUCGACCCACCGGACCUCACGUGGUGAUACACCCUCUGCCCCCACGUCUCGUUAUCUUCUCACACCCACACGUACCAACACAGACACCACACACACAAAAAGUAUUCUCCUGGUGCCUCUAUCCACUCCCCCCUUGCAUAUACACACUCAAGGGAAUCUCUUGCCAUGAUGUCAUAUUCAUCUCUCUCUCUCUAGACCACUCUCAUUUCUUGUGCUAUCUCUCCCACGCCCCCCGCCGGCCCCUCUAUCCAUGCCUCUCUCAAAUAUGUAAUACACACACACACACCUCUCUAGGCCCUGCCAAAUGCAUCAACUACACAUUCACACAUGUUACAUCACGUUUAUUUCGCAUACAACAUUCCUUUUGAAUAAAGUGUGGCCAAAAAAGUAUUUUAGAAUUUCUACAUAUAUACAACAUUACACAGUUAUAUGGAGGAGUAUGAACGCUUGCAUUGCAUGGUGCCCACAAUGAUAUUUAUUCCGCACUGUGAAUUUGUAUAUUUUUAUACUAUAUAUAAAGUUAGUCAUAAUAAAGAGAAACGAAGAGCAUCUCUCUCUCUCCAUCGCAUACCCCCCUCUACGCCCCUUUCAUGUACGCACACAAACUAUCUCCAGGUCCGCUAAAAGUAAGCCCCCAGCACAUUCACGCAUGUUUCAUCUCUCUCGCGCGAUAUAUACAGUGACAAUCAUUGUAUUUGAAGCGAAAGCACGAUACGUACAUUGGACUUCAGAAUCCACUCAUUAUGGUCACCAUUUAUGUUUUGUGGUUAUUAUACAGUCACGGGCUCACCAUACAACUCUGUAUUUGCUCAAGACACGACUAGUUGACCAGUUAAAUGCUCCACGUGGCACCUCUAGUGUUGCAUCACAUUAUCUCACUACCAUCGGGCCCACCUGUCGGCUUGUAUCUACUCUACAUCUACACUCUUAUAAAAUACUAGCAAGAUGCCCAUGCGUUGCACGGAACAUCAAGAUGCGUUUGUAUGAGUAGUUUAUCUUGUGGGAGGAAAGGAUGAACAAGGGAAGGCUUUAUUUGCAAGUAUGGAGAGGGGUGUGGGUAUCUUUUUGCAAAAUUGCCAUAGUUUCCUUCCUAUCCGUCAGAUAUAGAUCGGACGGCCUAUAUUGCAGGAUGGCAGGCACACGAUCAUCACCGACUAUGCUUUUUACAAGAGUAGGGAUAAAAUACACUCUUAUAAAAAAACAGAGUUGGUGAUGAUGGUGUGCCUGCCAUCCUGCAAUAUAGGCCGUCCGAUUUAUAUCCGACGGACAGGAAAGAAACUAUGAAAAUUUUGCAAAAAGGUACCCACACACCUCUCCACAUUUGCAAAUAAGGCCUUCCCUCGUUCAUCAUUUUCUCUCACAAGAUAAACUAGUCAUACAAAUGCAUCUUGAUGUUACGUGCAACGCACGGGCAUCUUGCUACUAAGAAUGAAAACAAACGACAAAAAAAUAUUGAACGGUGGUUCGAAGUCAUGACCGCGGGCACCGCGGACAAGGUGGCCUUGUAUUGGUAUGAUGAGCCAUGUGUUUUAACACACAGGAGCUAGUGUGGUGAUUAUACACACACGCACGCAUGCACGUGAACUGCAUGCACGCAACACUCACAUGAACACAUGCACCCACGCACGCACGCAACACUCACACGUACACACGCAGCCACGCACGCACGCAACACUCACACGCACACGCACACACGCACACACCAGUACACCACACGACCAACACACACUCUCACGCUCAAGUGCUCAACCUACACGUGCAUGCGCACACAUCAGGCCCUGACAGACACAUACACAACCAGGUGAUUCCCGCGCAUGGGGUGGAGUCUUGUCGCGCCUGUGUAAAUUUGUGUUUAUCUGACCUUUUCCCUAUGCGAACUGACAGGUGGGACCCACAAGGAACGUGGUCAAUUUAACUAGUCAACAUGGUGCCACGCAGACUAUUUGGUCGGUCAACAGAGUGCAAUCCGAUGCUGAACCGUGAGCAAGUGACCGUAUAAUCACCGCAAAACAUAUAUAGUGACCGUAAUCAGCUUAUUCUGAAGUUCGGUGAACGUAUUACGCUUUUCUCUCUGUAGGCCCUCCAAAACUACAUCUCUACACGUUCUCGCAUGUUACAUCUAACAACUAUGCAAUACAGCACUACUACUACACUCUAACACAAUAAAUCAUAUGUGUUUUUAGUUUUGCUAGAUAUCAUAUUGUUACUUAAUUAUUCAGUUUGCAUACAUUAAAAUUUCCUUUGAAAUGUAUGGCCAGUAUCAUAUACCGCGCGGGAAAAAUCCCGCCCUUUCCUGUUUAAUCGGGUUUGUAUCGAUGGAUUGUGCGAAACAACAAAACUAUAGUACUAUAUAGAGUACAAGUGACAGUUCACUGGGCCGUCGUGUCGUGUACUCCUCCGUCGUAAGAGUGGAGCGCUCGCUUUCAUAAAUCUUCUAGUCCCUUUCGCCGACAUGUGGGAUGUCAAGCUACCAGGUCCAUGUGCCAUACCGGAAUACAGUGCAGAGCAGCCGGGGUGAAGCACCCAGUCAUGGCGCCGGCGUAGUAAUGAGCAAUGAGGCGUCAAAUCACAAAGCUGCACCAUUCCCGCAGUUAAAUUGGAGGGACGAAGUAAUAAUGCUAUAAAAAUAAGUUGGAGGGACGAAGCAACCAUCAUUUCACUCGUUGCUGAAUCCGCUUCUCCCUCAUCUUCUUCAAGUUAACCACGUGUUGCUUCUACCGUUGUUCUGCCUCAUGUGGGAAGCGGAUUGGUUUGGUAAAGCACUGACACGUGGGACCGCAUGUUAGGAAACCGCCGGGACAACGUCCUCUAAAAAUAAGAAACCUCCCCCGCCAUCCGCGCGGCAAAAUCACCUCCUUUUUACUAAUCUUGAUUCUAUAAUUUUUUAGAUCAAUAUAAUUGAGAUUUGUAUAGAUAGCACACAGGAGCAAAACCAAGUGGUACGGUUAAGGGCAUCCACAAUGUGUAGCCAAAUGUGAAAAUAGCUUUUGGCAUCAUGGGAACCAUUGUGGACGGUGUUGCCAAAGCCAAAAGGAUGGAACCGAAGCUCCUUGAUUGAUUGAUUGAAGGAAUAGAAAAAUGCAAUGUCUCUCCUCUUUCUCCCGUGCUUGGACGCAUGUACAGUAUAGAGGACAGAGUCUACUCCCCUGUCCCUUCUAUCACAAAUCACAAAGCAGUGAGGCGUCAAAUCACAAAGCACGGACGAAGCAACCAUCAUUUCACUCUUCGCUGACUCCGCUUCUCCAUCGUCUUCUUCGAGAAACCAUCUCACCGCACUAAGCUGGACGGACGACGCUAUUGUGUAUGAGUAGUACUAGUACAUUUACGCGUCCUUUGGUUCAACGGACUUCCUGGAUGCAAAUAAGGCGGUUGUCUCAGCUUGCAGGCGGCACUUGCGAGCAACUUACCGUGGUCUCCCUCAAUGGUGUUCUCCGUCGAACGCACUGCGCCAAACCACAACGUUCGAGAUAUCGUCGACGUCACCGCAAUGGGGAAGGAAGUCAAAUAUAGUUACUACCUCCAUUUUUUGUACACAAGGCCAGUAUAUCAACAUUACAAUUUGCAAAAGGCCACUAACACUAAUCGAGGCAAAAUUGAUGGGGUUUGCCUCGUACUAGCAACCAAGGACAUUAAUACCCCCUGCAUGCAUGCGGAAGUGAGUGCAUUAAUCAAGCGAUGAGGAGUGAGAUGGUUAGCUCUUUGGGAUUUGUAGAAAAAAUACGCAUUAAUUGACACGUGAAACGAGGAUUUGUAUCGAUUAAUCCCGCGAAGGAAAACCCCGCCUUUCUUUUUUAACACUAGUACUCCUAGUACGUAGUACUACAUACUUAUCCUGUUUGGGUCUAGGCCUUGCAUUGCCAUACUUCGCCACACAUUUUUGCCAAGCUUGCCUAGAGUUUUCAAAAUGAAAAGGAGGUACACUUGCGCACGCCUGUCGCGGUCGCACCGCACCCUCACACGGUCACUCCUGCACGCCGCGGUCGCACUGCACCCUCACAUGCACAGUCGCUCCUGCACGCCGCAAACCCAACCAAGGGAACACACACUCACUGACACUUGCUGUCGCAUGUGAACAAACCAAACUCAGCCAUCCUACAGCUGACACAUAAUUUUCGUUCAUAGAGUAUGUUUAUCCAACCGCAUGUUGGGGAGUAUCUGUACGGCCCGUGCGGUGGUCUGUUGGGGAAGAAGAAAAGGUGAGGAAGAAGGGUUAGGACACGUAGGAUAUUCAUCCAACCGCCUGAAAUGGUAGACUGACCCAAGUCAGGCGACUUGCAUAACAAUAUAUGUUUUUACACAGCAAAAGAUCCAUAAAAACAACAACAUAAAGAAAAACUAUCACUGCUUGCGGAACAAGACAGCCUCGUCGUCUUUGGCCGCCGGCGCGAACCAGCCGUAGCUGCCGAUGUGUGUCUCCGCACCGUGGUUGUCCUCAGCCUCCAGCUACUCGUUCACGCGGAGCGUGCGGGCGCUCUGCACGGACGAGAGCACCGCCCGGUUCAAGUCGAGGACGUCCGGUUCCGCCUGCAGGAGGGCCUCGAUGGCAGCGGCAUCCGCGCGCACCGCGUCGAGUCGAGCCUCCGCCGCCUGGUUCAAGCCCAGGACGUCCGGUUCCGCCUGCAGGAGGGCCUCGAUGAGAGCAGCAUCCGCGCACUCCGCGUCGAGAUGAGCCUCUGCCGCCCGGUUCAAGUCCAGGACAUCCGGUUCCGCCUGCUGGAGGGCCUCGAUGGCAGCGGCAUCCGCGCGCUCCACCUCAAGUUGAGCCUCCGCCGCCCGGUUCACAUCCACGACAUCCGGUUCCGCCUGCAGGAGAGCCUCGAUGGUAGCGGCAUGCGCGUGCUCCGCGUCGAGUUGAGCCUCUGCCUCCCGGCCCUCCUUUAGUAUCGCCAUGUUGAACCGCUGGUCCGCCUGCACCAUGGGGGACUCGGACGCCGGCACGAAGUCGACGUCCAUCGUCUCAUACCCAUCGGGGGCCUUCUGCGCCGUGACCUCUGCCAUGAACAUUGGAUCGGCUUCCUCCCCCUCGUAGCUUGGCUCCAGAGAACUCGGGGAUUGACCCGCCUCAAGUGAGCUUGGGAACGGAGGUCUGUGGCGCCGACUGCCGCCGCGAUUUCUGCGCGGCGCUUCGGCGUCAGCAUCUUGUAGUAAGUGAUCUUGCGGCGCACCAUGGCUUUCCAGCGAACUAGGGGACGCUUGAUGCUGGCUAGGGGAUCGAAAGGUGGGGGAAGGGGCUGGAGAUUAGGUGUGGUUUUAGGGCAGUGGCUGGCGUAGGCCGAGCAGCGAAGGUUCUAGUGUGAAUAGUGGUUCCGGUGAUGACCGGUCAAUCGGUUUUGACUGUACAUCGCUCUUGUCGCGUUCGCGUUGCAGCCCGGCACGCUGGACCCUCCACGUCGCUCACCGAAUGGAACGUGCUUCGUCUUGCGUUUUCGCUCGCUUGUGGGACCGCAGUUGAGAGCAAACCGACGUCCCUGCCCCUCCCCCGCCCGCGUCAUUUUAUGCGGAGUAAAUAAAAACAGAGGGAGUAUACUACGGAUGAGGAUCCCCUGACGUGGCCGAACCCGUUGAGUAACUAACAUGCGGGGCCUAGCAAGCAUGGUGUCCGCCAGUAAGUGACCGAAAGGGAGGGUAAGGCAGGGAUACGUAUGUGAAAGGAGCUUCCAAUGAUAUAAUUUUCACAUUAUACAUCUCAUGUACUAUUAAUCUUGUCAAUAGUCAAAUGCGGUUUUGAAAAACGCAUUAGAGCAUGGUUAAUAAUAUAGCCAGUCGAUGGCUAUAAGGAACUGCCAUGUCAUCUAUAGCCAUCAUCUAUUAUAUGCACUCAUACAGUAGUGUGGGCUAUAAGGUUGGUUAUUUCCCACAAAAAAAUUAUAAGGUUGGCUAUUGUAUUAGUACUUUUUUCCAUCUCCUCUCCAUCUCUUUCUUCAUAUUUAUUGUACGUAUUUAACUAGGAAUGCGUAUAUAGCUAGGCUCUUGCAUGUGAGCUCACUCCCCUUACUUUUUCACAUCUCUCUCCUCCACAUAGGCCCUAUAUAAAUGGAAGGAGGGAGUACAACUAUGAUCACUGCAUACUCUAGUACAGAUGUUGUCAGUACUCCACUAGUACUAUUGGACAGGAAGCUUAAAAAAGUUACUAUUGGACUUGCUAUAUGAGGCGAAAUCCUAGUAGGAAGAGCAUGCGCGAGAACAAGCACAUUCACGUGGUUGAAAACAAAUUGGAAACCAUCUCGAGUACAAAUCUAGGAGUACGUACGAAUCUAACCAUAUUGAUUGGGCGUUGUUGAAUGUUGAUACUUUUUUUUAUCAAAGUAGAGAUACUUUGACUACACAUAAAACUUAUAUGUAAACUAGAAAGGAUAGGAGGGAGUAUAUUGUACGUUCAAAAACGAAACGAACAUUGAAUACCCUUUAUAUAUGAUUGCGGAUGCUAUGAUCACCGGUUCAAAAUUUUGAAUCCGCCUUAGGUAUCACACAUGCCCCCACUCGUUCUCUCUUGAUUUCAUCUCGGGGUCCGGAGAUCGAUUGAAAGAGGACUAGGGUGGGUACAAUACAUUCGCUUCGCUUAUGAACGUACAAUAUACUCCCUCUGAUCCCCACAGACCCCCCCCCGGCGGGUCAUUUCUAUCAUAGAAAUAGACCAAACCUUUAUCUCCUUGCACGACACACAAUUGAUCUCUGAACAUCAAUCGAUCUCGUCAACAUGUGUCGGGGCAUGAACCGAAUGGGAUGUCAAAACUAAGACGCGAAGCGACACAUAGUGGAGGCAAUGUGAAACUUAAAAAAAACUGUUUGUUUGUAUGCAUGUCGGACAAAUUACAAAUAAACAUUGGAAAUACAAGCAUGGUCUAGGCCCACAUGCGAAUGAUGCUCGGUGGAAUGUUAAAAAGAGGCAUGCGGGAGGAUGGACUCGACGGGAGGGUGACAUGAUCGAUGGAGAAGAGGGUUGGAGAGGAAUGAGAAAUAAGCAAACGCCACAUGAUUAUACUUGAACGGCUCAAAUAAACAAUAAGUUAUCUCGCUUGGCCUACAUAGUGAAAGGCCUAAUGCGCAACACGGAGCACUGACGCUCGAAUAUGGCCGGGAAAACAAGGAAACCGACAUGUGGGGCACACCUGUCGGGACGACGUAGCGCAAACUAGUACAAUGGAGGAGCUGGCCCACGACCUCCUCGCCACCGGCAACCGUUCAUGUGGGUCGUGGGGGCCAACAACGUGGCGAAGCUCCAGCACCGCCUCUGGACACGGCGACCGCGGUGAGCGACACGCUCAUCGUUGCUAUACACGGUUGGUUUCUGUGUGCCGAGGGUGGCGUUAGUGUUGUGGCACGACCAACAGUAUGUUUGGUUUGUGCCCAAGGUUGCCCCAUCAAAGCAUUGGGUAGCCAAAAUUUUGGUUGAGGUUUUGGUUGCCCAUGAUUUGGCUGACAUCGUCAGGAAAAAUGAACUAGAGUUGGCUAGAGUUCAUUGGCAUGCCAAAAAAAUGGCAACCAUCCAAACAAAGACCAAUCUUUGGGUCAUGACCAAAAUUUUGGUAAGGUGCACUUUAGUGAUAAUCCAAACACACCCCAACACCCGGCUCGUCGAGGAUGCACGGGGCGCCGGGACGCGUCCGCGGAGUGGUGUAGCGCGGCCAACUGCAUCCUCAGGACCUGAGACCAUGCCGGGUCGUCUUGUUUUUCAAUGACAUGCGUCGAUCGCAUGCGAGUAAAGGGCAUCUCCAACAUUGCAACGACCGCAGCUGACUACCCUGGCACACCAAAAAUCCUCGUCCCCCGCGCCGUCGUGCGGUGCGUUCCCAGCCGGCGCCAACUGCCCGCAUUCAUGCCGUCCGUCCGUAUGCCGUCUUUAAGAGGCUCGGUGCUCGAGGAACCAACUCCGGCGACUUAAUGACGCACCAGGACGCUUGGCCUCACCGGAAUGCGCUACUUAAAGUGGCAAUGCCCAGCUAACCUCCACACCAUGGCGCAUCGUCCUCCUACCUGGCACCACAUCCGCCAUGACCGCAAGCGCGAACGCUCUGUGGGAGAGCUUGUCUUCGGGGAUGAAGCUCGAGGUUGCCGCCCUCGCUCAAGUCGUCGCACAAGCGGUGGCCACGCUGGCGGCCGAUGACGGGAGCACCGUCAGCCACGCGUCAUACUUGCCGCCGUCCAACGUCCGGCACCGCCGAGGUCGGGGACUCCUUCGAGGAUGAGUAGGGCAUGGGAGGCGGCAGGGCAUGGUGUGCCAACUGGCCGGUCCAUCUCCCAUGUUCUACUUUUCCUCGCCGGAGACCGCACCUUCACUUCACGGGGCUUGAACCCCGCCCCCGUACAUGGAGAUCGCAGAUGGAGGACGUCGGUCGCCGCCGUAGAAUAGGUUUAGGGUCGGGUUUCUUAUAUUUUUCUGUCCUAAAAGUUCAAAAUGUAAUAAAAAUCUGCCAUGUUUGCAUUAAUCUCGGCCAGUGUAUAUGAACUUUCACAAUAAUAUAGUAUAUUGUAGGAGUACUAGCAAGAUGCCCGUGCGUUGCACGGAAGAUCAAGAUCUUGUGGGAGAAAAGGAUGAACGAGGGAAGGCCUUAUAUGCAAAUGCACAUUCAUGCAUUUCACAUCUUUCUACAUCUACGGGAACCUACGAAAGGGUUAACGUAAAUUGCCUCUCUCUCUCCUCCCCUGAUUUUCAUGGUGCUGGGCCCCUCGUCCCCCCAAUCUACAAUCAAUAGCUCACAUGUUUCACAUUAUGUUAAUUAUGUAAUUGGGACUACGUAGGUGUAGCAUUACUCGUCCUAAAAAACCCAACUAAGACAACCUCCCAACAUAUCGCGCGGGAAAAGACCCGGCCGCGCCGUUUUAGUCGGGAUUACCGGAUUACUAGUAGUAGUAUCGAUGGAUCGCGCGAAGCAACAAGUUUUUUUUAGGGGGCGAAGCACCUAGUUUAAAAGGAAAAAAGGCGGUCCACUCACAGCACCCGUGCCGCGGUCGCAUUGCACCCCACACACGUUCGGUCCUGCACACGGCUCACGCAAACGGAAAGCGCUUCGGCUUGCCUCUUCACUGACACGUGGGACUGCACUUGGAGAAACCGACCAUGCGCCAAACUCCCCCGCCCACCACACGAAAAUCCUCCCCCACCCAAAAAUUCCCCCCAAAUCCUAGAUUCAACCGCCCUUCGGCCAACUAGCCAAUAAUAUUCCCCAAACCCCCCUCCCCCNNNNNNNNNNNNNNNNNNNNNNNNNNNNNNNNNNNNNNNNNNNNNNNNNNNNNNNNNNNNNNNNNNNNNNNNNNNNNNNNNNNNNNNNNNNNNNNNNNNNNNNNNNNNNNNNNNNNNNNNNNNNNNNNNNNNNNNNNNNNNNNNNNNNNNNNNNNNNNNNNNNNNNNNNNNNNNNNNNNNNNNNNNNNNNNNNNNNNNNNNNNNNNNNNNNNNNNNNNNNNNNNNNNNNNNNNNNNNNNNNNNNNNNNNNNNNNNNNNNNNNNNNNNNNNNNNNNNNNNNNNNNNNNNCCCCCCCGUCCCCCUCCACUCCAUUCGCUCCGCCAAAGCCGCCCUCCCCGCCACGCCGAUACGUCGGCACCGCGAUUCGUCGAGGGGACGCACGGCGAUCUUCUCGCUCCCACAGUACGCUCUCGUAGACUGCCGUCCUGUAGCCGCGCCGCCACCGCUGGCGACGUUCUUGUGGAGGCGCACGGCGGUCAGCGCCGCCACCGCUGGCGACGUUCGUGUGGAGACGCACGGCGGUCAGCUUCUCCCACGGUACGCGCAUUCUAGACUGAGACCCCAUGCAUGUCGGUGUAGCGCUGAAUGUUAGCUGAUAGACGCUGUUAAUCUCACUGUUUGCCGAAGUAGUUUACAGUCAAUAUGCUCUGCUUAAGAAGCUUCCUUGCCCUGUUCUGCACUCAAUCUGCUUAGCUGAGAUGGCAUGCCAAGGCCGAUUAGUUGCUAACAUAUCCUGCCAUAUAUUAAUUGUGACGUAGAUUGCCAUGGUCUAGUAGCCAAUCUGUUAGGUGAAAUAGCUCUACACCGUUUUAUACUCGAUCUUUGUUGCUGUGAUGGCCUUCGAUAGUUCGAUGGCUGUGUGCUCGGCCUCAUUGACUGCUGAAACAGCUUGCCAUAAUUUAGCACUCAAAUCUGUUUGCUGAAUUAGCUUUACAUAUAUUUCGUUACUUAGAUCUGCUCGUCCAAAUAUCUUGCCAUAGCUUUAGACAUCGACCUAGGUAUUUUCUUCUGGACUUCAUAAAAAAGCAUAUAUGUUUUUCCUGUAAUAUCUAGUAGAACAACUAAUUUGUAUGUCUAACAGACAGACAAGACUUGGAUAACUUCUGCUCGAAGAUUCUCCGCUGCAUAUGUCGAGUGGGUUGAAAACUUCAUGAACUUUAUCAGAGCUGAGUACGGUGGUCCGAAAUCAGAUGUGCUCUGCCUGUGUAGCAGUUGUAUGAAUUCAGUUACAAGACCCCAGUCAACUGUGCAAAAUUGUCUACACUUGUAUGGGAUGUCGGUCACAUAUACUAGGUGGUUCAUCAUGGUGAAGCUGUGAACGUGAAUGUUAUUGACUACGUGGAAGCAACAGAUCACCAUCUUGAUCUGCCUGAUGCUCAGGUGGAAGAGGGGGAGGAGGUGGUGGUGGCGCAGCGAGUUAAUUUGACCAACAUUGAAACAAUGCUACGAAAUGCUUGUGCAUUCCGUGAACUUUCACCUGCAGAAGAAAAACGGUGGGCCCGCAUGUUGGAACAAUGCAACGUGGCUGUCACCCCAGGAAAUAAGCUGUCAGUAUUCUCAGCUAUGGUCACCUUUCUUUAGGUGAAUACAUCUGAGCGGAUGACCAACAAAUCAUUCGAUGCGAUGUUGGCUGCUUUCCGCAAAGCUUUCCCAGAUGCGUCUGAGCUGCCACACACCUACAGUAAAAUGAAGAAUUUCCUUCGUGCAGUUGGAAUUGGAUAUGAUAUGAUCCAUGUUUGUAAGAAUAAUUGUGUUCUGUUCCGGAAGGAUUAUGCCAACUUAAGUGAAUGCCCGAAAUGCAAAUCAUCAAGAUGGAAAGAUGGUGAUGCUGUGAAGAGGAUUCCUCAUAAUGUUCUGAGACAUUUUCCAAUUACACCAAGAUUGCAGAGGUUGUUUCAUGAUACUGAAACAAGAGAGGAUGUACUGUGGCAUUCUAGGAACCAGGAGUACAGAUAUCAAAAUGUAAUGAGCCAUCCAUCACAUGGUAGUGAGUGGAAAAGCUUCAAUCAGAAACACGAAAAGUUUGUUGUUGACCCGAGAAACAUUAGACUUGGCUUAGCUUCAGACGGAUUUAACCCAUUUGGCCACCAGAGCGCCACAUAUAGCAUGUGGCCAGUGCUUGUUAUCCCUUACAACAUGCCUCCAAAUGUCUGCACCAAAGAAUCAAACUACAUGAUGGCCUUGCUCAUCCCAUGUCCAAAAAGUCCUGGAAAGGAUUUUGAUUUGUUCAUGGAGCCUCUUGUGGAGGAACUUCAAAAGCUAUGGAGGGGUGUUCUCACUCGAGACCUAUAUAGCAGCCCACCAGCUGAUUUCUUUCUGAGUGUUGUUAUAAUUUGGUGCAUCCAUGAUUAUCCGGCUUUGGGCACUAUGUCAGGGCGAACGACACAUGGUUACAAUGCAUGUGUUUGCUGUGACAGGAAUCCGCUGUCAUACGCAAUACUUAGCAAGAUCUGUUACAUUGGACACCGUCGUUUCCUUGCCAAGGACAAGCCGCAUCCUAGAAAAUACCGAAGACAUGUGUUCAAUGCAAAGCAUGAAAACCGUGAUGCGCCAAAGAGGCUCACGCGGAUGAGUUGCAAGUGGAAUUAGAGAAGGUCAGGCAUAUUACACCAGGAAACCAUCCUGAUAAUGGUACCGGGAAAAGGAAGCGUGGCAGGGCAGAUGAGAGAUUUUUAUUUACCCGCAGGUCCACUUUGUGGGACUUGGAGUAUUGGAAAGAUUUGGAUCUGCGGCAUAAUCUUGAUGUGUUGCACAUCAAGAAAAAUAUAUGUGACAGAAUUAUCGGCACACUUCUUAAUAUUGAAGGCAAGACGAAAGAUACCUUAAAAUCUAGGAUUGAUUUGACACACCUGGGUAUCAGACAGGAUUUGCAGGUGCAAGAUGAAGGUAAACCACGGGAUAUGGCACCGCCUGUGUGCGUCUUGGACAAGGUAAAAAGAAAAGAAUUCUGCGAGGUCCUGUCACAUGUGAGAUUCCCACAUGGAUUUGCUUCCAACCCUGAAAGGAGAGUCAGUGCAGAUGGAAACAAGGUACAAGGGUUGAAAACUCAUGACUGCCACGUCCUAAUUCAAAGGGUUUUACCUGUUAUCCUUAGAGGAUUGGGCCGCCCUGACUUAUACAGAGCAGUUGCAGAGUUGGGACAAUUCUUCAGGGAACUCUGCAGUAGGAAUAUCAGGAUAGAUGCUUUGGAGCGUCUUAGAGACAAGAUACCAACUAUCCUAUGCGACCUUGAGAAGAUAUAUCCUCCAGCCUUAUUUGAUGUGAUGGUGCAUUUGGUUGUUCAUCUACCUGAUGAGGCACUACUUAGAGGUCCAGUACAGUAUGGCUGGAUGUACCCUAUUGAAAGGCAGCUAGGCACUUUCAAGGGCUAUGUUAGGAACAGAGCUAGACCCGAGGGUUCCAUUGCAGAGGCCUACAUUUCUACAGAAGCAUUGACAUUCUGCUCAAAAUACAUUGGAACAGCUGAUCAACUUAGCAAAGAGGUGGAUGAAGACAAUCCCGGGCUUAAUGUUUUUGAUUAUUCUGUUCGAGUUACAGGUAAGAGGCGACAAGAGGACAAACCUAAAGAUAUGGACAAAAUGGUUUGGUAUGUGUUGAAUAACUGUCCUGAGAUACUACCUUAUAUCAAGUAAGUGCUAAGUAAUAUAGCUUAUACAUCAUAAUCUACUAAACUUGCAGCACAUUCUUAUAUAUUUAGAUGUUUGACGCGAUCACUAUGUUGUGCAGCAUCUACAAAAAGGAGUUAUUACCGCAAAAUCCAAGAAACAUUGACAAACUGGUUAUGCAGGAUUUGUGAAAUGGUUCAAGAGCCAUGUAAGCUUUUGAAUUGUACUGUCAGUUUUUUUAAUAUAUUGAGUACGUAAGAUGAUCAGCUUGUCUAUUUUCUAACCAUAGGUUAAGAAGAUGCGGGAGGAUGGGCAGGCAGUUGAUGAUGCCCUUUACUCACUAGCAAUGGGUCCUGAUACUUGGGUAAGACAUUAUGAAUCUUGCAUUGUUGGAGAUGUGCGCUACAACACCCUUGCACGAGAUGAAGGCAGGAAGACACAAAACAGUGCCAUCAUGAGCACGGAUACGUAUGACAAAGAGACAACUGAAAUGUAUGCUAACAUAACAGACAUUGUUCAGUUGCAGUAUAUCUCUAGUUUCGAGGAUCAUCGGUGUGUGGUUCUGUUGUGCUGUCAUUGGUAUAACCUGUUUUCCAGGAUCGCAAAACCCAGAGCUGAUGAUUAUUUCAAAUCCAUCAAUGUCAAGGCGGCGUACCAGACCAACGAGCCUUAUAUUUUGGCAAAUCAAGCAACACAGAUAUUUUUCUUGGAACACACAUUUGCAUGUAGCGAUGACUGGAGAGUAUUGCAAAGGUUUGAGCAGAGGAAUUCCUUUAAUGAAGUUGCACAACAAGGUGAUGCUUACACUGCUCCUGAUGUACAAGAUAACACAGAUGUUCCUAAUAUCUUUAAGAACCAUCACGUCAAUGACGCCGGCGAAAAGAUUGCCUGUCGUGCUGUGGACAUACAAGAGUUGAUCAAGAAGAAGCCAACGUCCGAGGACGUUGAGGACGAAGAAGAAGAUGACACCAUGGAGAAUUACGAUUCAGACUGAUACACAUGGCGAAGAUGUUGACGCUGCUUCUGCGGAUGAUGAUUACAUUGCUUUUGUCGUAUUUGCUUGUCAGAAGACGUUUUUUAUCUACUAUGUGAAAUUGUGUUUGCUAUGACAACUGAAACCUGAUGAACAUGUUGUUUAGUAUUUUCCUGUGAGAACAUCACUUGUUAUGUAUGCUGAUUUUUGUUUGGUGAUUGUAUGACGACUAAAACAUGUUGACAUUGUUGUUUAGUUGUACUCAUAUUUGGCUGUGAAACUUGAAUUUGAUGACAUAUUUUGCUGUUGGACUGCAAUUUGCUCGACGUCUUCGAAUGAGAACAAAGCUGACCCGACAGGGCCUCUGCUAAUUAAUUUAUUUAUUACCAAAAGGGCCUCUGCUAUUGAUUUAUUUAUGAGCAAAAGGGGAUACCCCCUCAUUUCCGUUAAUAGAAAUCAUUAGAUGUUCACAACACUACGCCCAGCCUGCUACAUAGGUUUCAUUCAUUACUAGUUUCAGCAAAGUGCUCAUGUCAUAUCCACUGAAUACAUCACGAGUGGUACAUACACUUCAAAUAAAGAGACAAUCAUCCUACAGAGCACAUCGAUUUUGCCCAUUAUCUUCACAAGCUCUUUCAUCUCCUCAUUGUUGUCAAGGCCGUUCAACAGCUGUUGCUUGGCCAUGAUCAGAGGAACUGCAUCUUUAACCUUCUGCUCUGCAUCUUCCUCUUCUGCCGUUCCUUCAGUUACUUGUCCAACACCCCAACCUGCUGGUAUUGGUAUUCCUCGGCUAACCAAAUAAUCAGCGUAAUUGCACUCCCCCACAUCAGCAACUUCCCAGAAAUACAAAUCACAUGAAUCUUUCCUUUUCUGCACGAAUCAAAUUGGAAGAUCAUCAACCAAACUAUUAAAAAAAUUAGCAACUGAAAGCAGCAGAACAACACUUAAACAUAUUAUUACCCCAUGAUUCAGGCAUUUGUAGAAGACUCGGCCAGGGUUGAGGAUUGUGGUUGAGACGGGAUGGAUGACUCUGCGUGAUUUGCAGCAGUGGCACCACACCAACACCAGCGGGUUGUGAUGAGCAACCGGCUGCGGUGCGCGUGCCGGCGGGGGUGUGAUGAGACCCACAGGCGAUGGUACGGGUGGCGACUUGGCACAUAUUUGGUUGUUGCCUGCUGAAGAGCAGGUGGACGAGCAGCCAGCAGACAUGGUUGCUGCGGCUGGAGCUUCUGAUGCUAGGCAGAGUAAGUAGAGAAGAGGAGAAGCAAACGUUGGAUAUGUCAGUUUCAUUACUUGCAGAGUAGCAUAGCCCCAUAUAUAGUCAUAGUCUAGGUUUGGAUUCGAACCAGCUACAGGAGCACGUCUCUCUUUUUUCUAAAACUCAGCAACGUCUCUUUACUGGUACACUAGCUUUUUCUGUACGCCUUCUCAAGUCUUUGAUUCCUCCACCUAACAUCUGGGACCCACCGAAAGGGCCUCUCUAUUUCGUGAAAAAAACGUGCCCCCCGCUGACAGGUCGGACCCACCAGCUAUCUUCGCACGCAAGGAAGUGCCUCCUUAUUACGCACAAAAAAAUGAAUACUCCCCCUGCCAGCUGGAAGCCAGCAUAGUGGGAGGCUGACUUGUGGGCCUACCAAGUUGAUGGGGACGGAGGGCUUUUUCAAUUAGUCCAUCUGAAUGAUUCUAGCUCCAGUUACUAUACUAUGUUCAUCCAACGGCAGUAGCGCUUCUUCAACCUCUGGUCUUCUUGCUCCAGCCGCCCAAACCAGCGCUGGUCAUGCCACGUGCUCCUGCCUCCCGUGGCCGGCUGUGAUGCCGCGGAGGCCUCACCGCCCCCUACUACUCCCACCACUGGUCAGGGCAUCCCUCUACUCACCCACACCCCCUGUUAUUCUCCGGCGACGGCAGCCUCACACCGCAGCCGAACCAGUGAACCCUCAUACUCCUCUCCGCGUGGGCAUCCACUGCCGCGUCUUCCCCGGCUCCGCGUCGUCCCCUUCCUAGGCCUCGCCGUCGUCCAUCGCCUUGGUGCUCUCGGCGCGGCGUGGUCAAUGUGGUCAACGACCGACUUCCAUCGGAAGAGUACUGUACGUGGAGAGGCUGACAGGUGGGUCCACGGCCGCAGCUGGGUCCACGGCCACAGCCCAGUUUCUUUGUGAUUUGCCAAGUAAGUCGCUUUGUCAGGCCUGUUGGGCUGCAAAUCUUUCAAGAUGAGGAGAGCUUCAUUCGGCUGGCCGAGAAAAUGGCCUAUCAGUAAUGAGAAAUGGGUUGUACAUUUUUAAAACACAUCAAACCGACAAUUAGUUUCAAAUUUCUUUUUUUCAAUUUGAGAUUUUAAAUUGCAUUGAUUUUUAUGCGUGGACAAUUUGUUGGAUUCUAUAUUGAUAUACAUUUAUUUUUAAAAUCAGUUUGAAUGUGACUCGAAAUUUCAGGAUUAAAAGCAGUUCGGACCGCACCGAAAUAUGCAAAAUUUCGUAUAAUUUUUUAACCGUGGCCACAAAAUGGGCUGUAAUGCUAACAAAAAGAAUAUGGGCUCCAAAAAACCUUAAGAAUUAGCAAAUGGGCUAUAAAUUAUUAAACAUAAUGGCAGAUGGGCUGUAUGAUGUUUUCCACAUAUUUGAGGCUUUCCUAAAAAAAGGUUGACGCACAAUCAAUGACUGUUGGAUGUCCAUCCAACGGCCGUCGUGCUUCUUCAAUCUCUGCUCUUCCUGCUCCAGCCGCUCAAACAAUCGCCGGCGGGACUGCCUGCUCUCUCCUCCCCGCGGCCGGCCGUGCUGCCGCGCAGGCCUCACCGCCCCACCGUACUCCCAUCGCUGGCCUAGCCAUCCCUCUACUCACCCACACAUGCUGUUAUUCUCCGGCGACGGCAGACGAACCAGUAAACCCUUGUACGGUCAUACUCCCCUCUGCGUGGGAAACAACUGCCGAGUCUUCCCUGCCUCCGUGUCGUUCCCUUCCUAGGCCUCGCCGUCGUCCACCUCCCUGGUGCUCUUGGCACGGCCUGGUCAACGUGGUCAACGACCGACAUGCAUCUGAAGUGGGCUGUGUGUGGAGAGGCUGACAGCUGGGUCCACGGCCGCACGCAAGGAAAUGCCUCCUUAUUACGCGCAAAAUAAGGAUUCCUCCACGUGACAUCUGGGACCCACCGAAAGGGCCUCUGUAUUUCGUGAAAAAAAUGUUACCGCCGCUGACAGCUCGGACCCACCAGCUAUAUCUUCGCACGCAAGGAAGUGCCUCCUUAUUACGCACAAAAAAAUGUAUACUCCCGUUGUUAGCUGGGACCCAGUAUAGUGGCAGGCUGACUUGUGGGCCUACUAAGUUGACGGGGACGGAGGGCUUUGUCAAGUUAGUCAAUAUGCACGAUUCUAGCUCCAGUGACCGUACGAUGUCCAUCCAACGGCCGUAGUGCUUCUUCAACCUCUGGUCUUCUUGCUCCAGCCGCCCAAACCAGCGCCGGUCGUGCCUCGUGCUCCUGCCUCCUGUGGCCGGCUGUGCUGCCGCGAAGGCCUCACCGCCCCUACUACUCCCACAGCUGGCCAGGCCAUCCCUCCACUCACCCACACCCCUUGUUAUUCUGCGGCGAUGACAACCUCACACCGCAGCCGAACCAGUGAACCCUCGUACUCCUCUCCGCGCGGGCUUCCACUGCCGCGUCUUCCCGGCUCCGUGUCAUCCCCUUCCUAGGCCUUGCCGUCGUCCACAGCCUUGGUGCUCUCGGCGCGGCGUGGUCGAUUGGUCAAGGAACGGCUUCCAUCAGACAUGGACUGUACGUGGAGAGGCUGACAGCUGGGUCCACGGCCGCAGCAAGGCAGUGCCUCCUUAUUAUGCGCAAAAUAAUUAUUUCCACCUGACAACGGGGACCCACCAGACGGUCCACCGUAUUUCGUGAAAAAACGUUUCCCCUGACUGUUGGGACCCACCAGCUACAUCUUCGCACGCAAGGAAGUGCGUCCGGGCAAAAAAAAUGAUUCACCCCCUGACUGCUGGGACCCACCAGCUACAUCUUCGCAGGCAAGGAAGUGCCUGACGUCGGGACCCACCUGGUCGAAGCGUACGUAGCAUUGUCAUUCUGGUCGUGAACGUGUACGUACAUACUGGUCGAUGUAGAGGCGCACACGUGUCAUAGUAGAGGCGCGCACGUAGCAUGUACACGUACGUACAACGGCCAGUGUGCAAGAAAGAAAAUACGGCCACGUAUGUACAUAUGGGCAGGGUCUCGAACGCCUACUCGCACAUACGUACGGCCAGGGCUCAUGUACAUGGCUAGGUCGGAACGGAGAAACUGCCUCGUCGUCGUGUUCAUGGGGAGCCAACCGGCUGGGUCGGAACAGAAUGCGUCGUCGUGUUCAUCGGGAGGGCUUGGACGGAACAACCGAUGGAAACGAGGCCUCAUGUACCGCAGAACGGAGGAAACGGCCUUGUGUUCGACCGGCCACGGUCAAAACGGGAUCCUGUUCAUCGGGAGGGGUCUGGCGUACUGCAAAACGGAGGAAACGGACCUCCUACGGUCGAAGUGGGGGUCCGGUUGGGAGGGGUGUGGCGUACCGCAAAACGGAGGAAACGGACUUGUGUUGGAGCGCUACGGUCGAAACGGGGGUCAUGUUCAUCAGGAGGGGUGUGGUGUACCGCAAAACGGGACUCCACGGGAUACUGUUCAUCUCCACCGUCGACCCCCUCCAGCCUCCACGGGCUACUAUUCAUCCAUCGCCGACCUCCUCCAGCCUCCACCUGCGACUGUUCAUCCACGGGCUCCUGUUCAUCCAGCCUCCACCGUGCGCUACUCCACCGACUACUGUUCAACCAGCCCUCUCCACGGGCUCCUGUUCAACCACCCCUCCAAGGGCUACUGUUCAUCCAGCCCUCCACCGUCUACUGUUCAUCCAGCCCUCCACGGGGUGGUCCUGUUCAUCUAGCCCCAACCGGCUCGAUCGAUCGGGGUCCUGUUCAUCCAGAGGCAACACCACGGGGUCCUAUUCAUCCACCCCCACCGGGAACUGUUCAUCCAAACCCCCCCAGCAAUGCUCACUGUUCAUCCAGAGGCAGCAUCGAUCGGCUUCAGUUAGCAGCAGUAGCGAAGGAACCGCUCGAUCGGGUUCAGUUAACAUCCAUCGAUCGAUCGCUCGGGUUCAGUAACGCGUAGCCUGGAGUGCAAUCGCUCGGGUUCAGUUAGAGCCCAACGCCUCGCACCCACGCGCGUGCUGGUAUGAGAGAAACGCACAUCGCUCGGCCCCGACCACCCACCGUAACCGGGAACACCCCGAUAUUUUCCUCGCCCUCGCUUCUACCACGAUUUUUUCCGUCAUGGACGGCCAAAAGAAUGUCAUGCAGCUGCGUCUCCGGCCCGCCCAGGACGAAAAGCCCAUUUUCUGACAUGAUUUUUUGUCAUAGAAGUAGGACCCCACCACAUCUAUGAUGAUACCGGGUUUUGUCACAAUUAUCGUCAUAGAAGUGUCAUAAGUAUGACAGGAAAAAUUUCGUUCGGCCCAAAAUGUCAUGGAUGUGUCUUUUUUUGUAGUACUCCCACCCCCUCACUAUAUAUAGGGGGAAGGGGAGAGGGGGGAUGCGCCCUAGGGUUUCCUCUAGGGGGCGGCGGCUAGGGCAGAUUGGAUCUCCCUAGGGAAACCCUAGGGAGACUCCCCCCCCCCAAGCAAAGCAGGUGGACGCGCCCCACCUCCCCAAGUAACGUGGGAAAGGGUGUGGGGGCGCACAGCCCCUUAGUGGGCUGGUUUGCCCCCUCCCCUUGGCCCAUGAGGCCCUGCAACACUUGUCGGGGCUCGCAUGACCGAAAGGUGUUUCGGGAGGCCAUAGCCCGGUACCCCCGGAACACUUCCGGACUCCAAUACCCUUCGUCCAAUAUACCGAUCUUCACCUCCGGACCAUUCCGGAACUCCUCGUGACGUCCGGGAUCUCAUCCGGGACUCCGAACAACCUUCGGUAACCACAUACUAUUUCCCAUAACUCUAGCGUCACCGAACCUUAAGUGUGUAGACCCUACGGGUUCGGGAACCAUGCAGACAUGACCGAGACCUCUCUCCGGCCAAUAACCAACAGCGGGAUCUGGAUACCCAUGUUGGCUCCCACAUGUUCCACGAUGAUCUCAUCGGAUGAACCACGAUGUUGGGGAUUCAAUCAAUCCCAUAUACAAUUCCCUUUGUAUAUCGGUAUGUUUCUUGCCCGAGAUUCGAUCGUCGGUAUCCCUAUACCUUGUUCAAUCUCGUUACUGGCAAGUCUCUUUACUCGUUCCGUAACGCAUGAUCCCGUGGUUAACUCAUUAGUCACACUGAGCUCAUUAUGAUGAUGCAUUACCGAGUGGGCCCAGAGAUACCUCUCCAUCACACGGAUUGACAAACCCCAGUCUCGAUUCAUGCCAACCCAACAGACACAUUCAGAGAUACCUGUAGUGCAGCUUUAUAGUCACCCAGUUACAUUGUGGUGUUUGAUACACCCAAAGCAUUCCUACGCUAUCCGGGAGUUACACAAUCUCAUGGUCUAAGGAAAUGAUACUUGACAUUAGAAAAGCUCUAGUGAACAAACUACACGAUCUUGUGCUAUGCUUAGGAUUGGGUCUUGUCCAUCACAUCAUUCUCCUAAUGAUUUGAUCCCGUUAUCAAUGACAUCUGAUGUCCAUGGUCAGGAAACCACAACCAUCCAUUGAUCAACGAGCUAGCCAACUAGAGGCUUACUAGGGACAUAUUGUGGUCUAUGUAUUCACACAUGUAUUACGGUUUCCGGUUAAUGCAAUUAUAGCAUGAACAAUAGACAAUUAUCAUGAACAAGGAAAUAUAAUAAUAACCAUUUUAUUAUUGCCUCUAGGGCAUAUUUCCAACAGUCUCCCACUUGCACUAGAGUCAAUAAUAUAGUUCACAUCACCAUGUGAUUAACACUCAUAGUUACAUCGCCAUGUGACUAACACCCAAGAGUUUACUAGAGUCAAUAAUCUAGUUCACAUCACCAUGGGAUUAAGACUCAAUGAGUUCUAGGGUUUGAUGAUGUUCUGCUUGUGAGAGAGGUCUUUAGUCAAUGGGUCUGCAACAUUCAGAUCCGUACGUACUUCGCAAAUCUCUAUGUCAUAUCAUACAUGCUGCAUCCACGCUCCACUUGGAACUAUCCCAAAUGGUUGCUCCAUUAUACGUAUCCGGUUUGCUACUCAGAGUCAUCCAGAUAGGUGUUAAAGCUUGCAUCAACGUAACCCUUUACGCCGUACUCUUCAUCACCUCCAUAAUCGAGAAACAUUUCCUCAUUCCUAAGGACAAUUUUGACCGCUAUCCAAUGAUCCACUCCUAGAUCACUCUUAUACCCCCUUGCCAGACUCGUGGCAAGGCACAUCUCAGGUGCGGUACACAGCAUGACAUAUCGAAUAGAGCCUAUGGCUAAGGCAUAGGGGACGACCUUCGUCCUUUCUCUUUCUUCUGCCGUGGUCGAGCCUCAAGUCUUAACUUCACACCUUACAACUCAGGCAAGAACUCCUUCUUUGACUGAUCCAUUUUGAACUCCUUCAAAAUCAUGUCAAGGUAUGUGCUCUGUGAAAGUCUUAUCAGGCAUCUUGAUCUAUCUCUAUAGAUCUUGAUACCCAAUAUGUAAGCAGUUUUACCAAGGUCUUCCUUUGAAAAACUUCAUUCAAACAACCCUUUAUGCUUUCCAGAAAUUCUACAUCAUUUCUGAUCAACAAUAUGUCAUCCACAUAUACUUACCAAAAUAUUGUAGUGCUCCCACUCACUUUCUUGUAAAUAAAAGUUUCUUGCAAACUUUGUAUAAACCCAAAUGCUUUGAUCACCUCAUCAAAGCGUAUGUUCCAACUCCGAGAUGCUUGCUCCAGUCCAUAGAAGUAUCGCUGGAGUUUGCAUACCUUUUAGCAUCCUUAGGAUCGACAAAACCUUUUGGUUGUAUCACAUACGCCUUCCCUCACGGAAGCCGUCAAGGAAACUUUGUUUUGACAUCCAUCUGCCAGAUUUCGUAAAUGAAAAUGCAGCAACUGCUAACAUAAUUCUAACAGACUUUAGCAUCGCUAUGAUUGAGAAAGUCUCAUCACAGUCAACUCCUUGAACUUGUCGAAAACUUCUUUGAGACAAGUCGAGCUUCAUAAAUGGUAACAUUACCAUCAGCGUAUGUCUUCUUCUUAAAGAUCCAUUUAUUCUCAAUGGCUUGCCGAUCAUCGGGCAAGUCCACCAAAGUCCAUACUUUGUUCUCAUACAUGGAUCCUAUUUCGGAUUUCAUGGCUCCUAGCCAUUUGUUGGAAUACGGGCCUACCAUCGCUUCUCCAUAGCUCGUAGGUUCAUCGUUGUCCAACAACAUGACCUUUAAGACAGGGUUACCAUUCAGAAGUUGUACACACCCUUGUCGACCUACGAGGUUCGAUAGUAACUCGAUCUAAAGCUCCAUGAUCAUCAUCAUUAGCUUUCUCUUCGACUGAGGUCGGUGCCACAGAAACAUCUUUCUGUGCUGCGCUACUCUCUGGUUGAAGUAAAGGUUAAACAACCUCAUCAAGUUCUAUCUUCCUCCCACUCAAUUAUUUCGAGAGAAACUCUUUCUCAAGAAAGGACUUGUUCAUAGCGACAAACACUUUGCCCUUAGAUCUGAGAUAGAAGGUAUACCCAAUCGUCUUGUUUGGGUAUUCUAUGAAGACACAAUUUUCCGCUUUGGGUUCGAGCUUUUCUGGCCGAAGCCUAUCGACAUAAGCAUCGUAGCCCCAAACCUUAAGAAACAACAACUUAGGUUUCUUGCCAAACCAUAGUUCAUACGGUGUUGUCUCCACGGACUUAGAUGGCGCCCUAUUUAAAGUGAAUGUAAUUGUCUCUAAUGCAUAACCCCCAAAUGAUAGCGGUAGAUCGGUAAGAGACAUAAUAGAUCACACCAUAUCCAAUAGGGUGCGAUUACGACGUUCGGGCACACCAUUAUGCUAUGGUGUUCCAGGUGGCGUCAAAUGUGAAACGAUUCCACCUUGUCUUUAGUGAUUGCCAAACUCGUAACUCAGAUACUCUCCCCUUGAUCAGAUCGUAGGAACUUGAUCUUCUUGUUAUGAUGAUUCUCAAGUUCACUCUGAAAUUGCUUGAACUUUUCAAACAUUUCAGACUUAUGCUUCAUUAAGUAAAUAUACCCAUAUCUACUCAAUUCAUCGGUGAAGGUGAGAAAAUAAAGAUAUCCACUGCGUGCGUCAACACUAAGCGGACCGCACACAUCAGCAUGUGUGAUUUCCAACAAGUCACUUGCCCGUUCCAUUGUUCCAGAAAACGGGGUUUUAGUCAUCUUGCCUAUGAGGCAUGGUUCGCAUGUGUCAAGUGAUUCAAAAUCAAGUGACUCCAAAAGUCCAUCGGCAUGGAGGUUUCAUGCGCUUUACACCAAUAUGACCUAAGCGGCAGUGCCACAAGAAAGUGGUAUUAUCAUUAUCAACUCUACAUCUUUUGGCAUCAAUGUUAUGAACAUGUGUAUCACUACGACCGAGAUUCAAUAAACCAUUCACAUUGGGUGCAUGACCAUAGAAGGUAUUAUUCAUGUAAACAGAAUAACCAUUAUUCUCUAACUUAAAUGAAUAACCGUAUUGCAAUAAACAUGAUCUAACCAUGUUCACGCUCAACGCAGACACCAAUGCAAACAACAUUUAUUUGGGUUCAACACUAAUCCCUAAGGUAGAGGGAGGGUGUGAUGGUGAUCAUAUCAUCCUUGGAAACACUUCCAACACACAUCGUCACCUCGCCCUUAGCUAGUCUCUGUUUAUUCCGUAACUUUUGUUUUGAGUUACCAAUAUUAGCAACUCAACCGGUAUCUAAUACCCAUGUGCUACUAGGAGUACUAGUAAGGUACACAUCAAUAACACAUAUAUCAAAUAUACUUUUGUUGAAGUUGCCAGCCUUCUUAUCCACCAAGUAUUCGAGGCAGUUCCGCUACCAGUGACCGUUCCCCUAAUAGAAGCACUUCGUCUCGGGUUUGGGUUCUUGGGUUUCUUCACUGGAGCGGCAACUGGCUUGCCAUUCAUGAAGUUUCCCUUCUUGCCCUUGCCCUUCUUUGAAACUAGUGGUCUUGUUAACCAUCAACAGUUGAUGCUCCUUCUUGAUUUCUACCUUUACGGCCUUAAGCAUGACGAAUAGCUCCGAGAUUAUCUUCCCUUGCAUGUUAUAGUUCAUCACGAAACUCUAGCAGCUUGGUGAUAGUGACUGGAGAACUUUUGUCAAUCACUCUCUUAUCUGGAAGAUUAACUCCCACUUGAUUCAAGUGAUUGAAGUACCUAGACAUUCUGAGCACAUGCUCACUUGCUGAGCUAUUCUCCCCAUCUUGUAGGUAAAGAUCUUGUCAGAGGUGUCAAACCUCUCAACAUGGGCAUGAGCCUGAGAUACCAAUUUCAGCUCUUGGAACAUCUCAUAUGUUCAAUGGCAUUCAAAACGCCUUUGGAGCCCCGAUUCUAAGCCGUAAAGCAUGGCGCACUAAACUAUCAAGUAGUCAUCAGAACGUGUCUGCCAGAUGUUCACAACAUCCACAGAUGACGCCAGAGGGGUUGGCACACCGAGCGGUGCAUCAAGGACAGAAGCCUUUUGUGUAGCAGUGAGGACAUUCCUCAUAUCACGGCCCUAGUCCACACAAUUGCUUACAAUAUCUUUCAACUUAAUCUUCCUCUAGGAACGUAUUAAAACAGGGAGCUAAAGCGCGAGCUAUUAAUCUACAACAUAAUUUGCAAAGACAAUUUAUACUAUGUUCAUGAUAAUGAGUUCAACUAAUCAGAUUAUUUAAUGAACUCCCACUCAGAUAGACAUCCCUCUAGUCAUCUAAGUGAUACAUGAUCCAAAUCGACUAGGUCGUGUCCGAUCAUCACGUGAGACGGACUAGUCAUCAACGGUGAACAUCUCCAUGUUGAUCGCAUCUACUAUACGACUCAUCUUCGACCUUUUGGUUUCUUGCGUUCCGAGGCCAUGUCUGUACAUGCUUGGCUCGUCAAGUCAACCUAAGUGUUUCGCAUGUGUAAAUCUGGCUUACACCUGUUGUAUGCGAACGUUAGAAUCUAUCACACCCGAUCAUCACGUGGUGCUUCGAAACAACGAUCCUUCACAACGGUGCACAGUUAGGGGGAAUACUUCCUUGAAAUUUUGUGAGGGUUCAUCUUAUUUAUGCUACUGUCGUUCUAAGCAAAUAAGAUGAAAACAUGAUAAACAUCACAUGCAAUUCAUAAAGUGACAUGAUAUGGCCAAUAUCAUCUUGCGCCUUUGAUCUCCAUCUUUGAGGCGCGGCAUGAUCACCAUUGUCACCGGCAUGACACCAUGAUCUCCAUCAUCAUGUCUUCAUGAAGUUGUCUCGCCAACUAUUACUUCUACUACUAUGGCUAACGGUUAGCAAUAUAGUAAAGUAAUUACAUGACGUUUACAUUGACUCGCAGGUCAUAAAAUAAAUUAAGAUAACUCCUAUGGCUCCUGCCGGUUGUCAUACUCAUCGACAUGCAAGUCGUGAUUCCUAUUACAAGAACAUGAUCAAUCUCAUACAUCACAUAUAUAAUUCAUCACAUCUUUUUGGCCAUAUCACAUCACAUAACAUACCCUACAAAAACAAGUUAGACGUCCCCUAAUUGUUGUUGCAUGUUUUACGUGGCUGCUAUGGGUUUCUAGCAAGAAUGUUUCUUACCUACGCAAAAGCCACAAUGUUGAUAUGCCAAUUUCUAUUUACCCUUCAUAAGGACCCUCUUCAUCGAAUCCGAUCCGACUAAAGUGGGAGAGACAGACACCCGCUAGCCACCUUAUGCAUCAAGUGCAUGUCAGUCGAUGGAACCUGUCUCACGUAAGCGUACGUGUAAGGUCGGUCCGAGCCGCUUCAUCCCACAAUGCCGCCGAAUCAAGAUAAGACUAGUAACGGUAAGCAAAUUGAACAAAUCAUCGCCCACAACUACUUGUGUUCUACUCGUGCAUAGAAUCUACGCAUAGACCUAGCUCUGAUGCCACUGUUGGGGAACGUAGUAAUAAUUCAAAAUUUUCCUAUGUGUCACCAAGAUCAAUCUAGGAGAUGCUAGCAACGAGAGAGAGAGGGAGUGCAUCUUCAUACCCUUGAAGAUCGCUAAGCGGAAGCGUUGCAAGAAUGCGGUUGAUGGAGUCGUACUUGCGGCGAUUCAAAUCGCGGAAGAUCCGAUCAAGCGCCGAACGGACGGCGCCUCCGCGUUCAACACACGUAGAGCCCGGGGACGUCUCCUCCUUCUUGAUCCAGCAAGGGGAGAGGAGAAGUUGAGGGAGAACUCCAACAGCACGACGGCGUGGUGGUGGAUGAGCUCGUGGUUCUCCGGCAGGACUUCGCCAAGCACUACGGAAGAGGAGGAGGAGUUGGAGAGGGGGAGGGCUGCGCCAGGGGAAGGGUGCGGCUGCCCUCCCAACCCCUCACAAUAUAUAGGGGGAAGGGGAGAGGGGGGAGGCGCCCUAGGGUUUCCCUACGGGCGGCGAAUAGGGCAGAUUGGAUCUCCCUAGGGAAACCCUAGGGAGACUUGCCCCCCAAGCCAAGCAGGUGGAGGCUUGCCUCCCAAGCCAGGUGGAGGCGCCCCACCUCCCCAAGGAACGUGAGAAAGGGUCUGGGGGCGCACAGCCCCUUAGUGGGCUGGUUUGCCCCCUCCCCUUGGCCCAUGAGGCCCUGCAACACUUGCCGGGGCCCUCGAAACACCUUUCGGUCAUGCUGGCCAUAGCCUGGUACCAACGGAACACUUCCAGACUCCAAUACCCUUCGUCCAAUAUACCGAUCUUUACCUCCGGACCAUUAUGGAACUCCUCGUGACGUCCAGGAUCUCAUCCGGGACUCCGAACUACCUUCAGUAACCACAUACUAUUUCCCAUAACAACUCUAGCAUCAUCGAACCUUAAGUGUGUAGACCCUACGGGUUCGGGAACCAUGUAGACAUGACCGAGACCUCUCUCCGGCCAAUAACCAAUAGCGGGAUCUGGAUACCCAUAUUGGCUCCCACAUGUUCCACGAUGAUCUCAUCGGAUGAACCACGAUGUCAGGGAUUCAAUCAAUCCCGUAUACAAUUCCCUUUGUCCAUCGGUACGUUACUUGCCCGAGAUUCGAUCGCCGGGUAUCCCCAUACCUUGUUCAAUCUCGUUACCGGCAAGUCUCUUUACUUGUUCCGUAACGCAUGAUCCCGUGGCUAACUCAUUAGUCACACUGAGCUCAUUAUGAUGAUGCAUUACCGAGUGGGCGCAGAGAUACCUCUCCGUCACACGGAUUGACAAAUCCCAGUCUCGAUUCAUGCCAACCCAACAGACACUUUCGGAGAUACCUGUAGUGCACCUUUAUAGUCACCCAGUUACUUGUGACGUUUGAUACACCCAAAGCAUUCCUACGGUAUCCGGGAGUUACACAAUCUCAUGGUCUAAGGAAAUGAUACUUGACAUUAGAAAAGCUCUAGUGAACGAACUACACGAUCUUGUUCUCUGCUUAGGAUUGGGUCUUGUCCAUCACAUCAUUCUGCUAAUGAUGUGAUCCCGUUAUCAAUGACAUCUGAUGUCCAUGGUCAGGAAACCACAACCAUCCAUUGAUCAACGAGCUAGUCAACUAGAGGCUCACUAGGGACAUAUUGUGGUCUAUGUAUUCACACAUGUAUUAUGGUUUCCAGUUAAUACAAUUAUAGCAUGAACAAUAGACAAUUAUCAUGAACAAGGAAAUAUAAUAAUAACCAUUUUAUUAUUGCCUCUAGGGCGUAUUUCCAACAGGGAUCUCACGUGUACAGAAGGUUGCGGCGGUGGAAAUUGGGUUUCGUGGUGAUCCUGGAUGUUUUCGAGGUAUAUGGAUAUAUAUAUAUAUAGGAGGAAGAAGUAGGUCGGUGGAGCUUCGAGGGGCCCACGAGGGUGGGGCGCGCCUAGGGGCAGGCGCGCCUCCCUGCCUCGUGGCCUCCUCGCUUCUUUCUUGAUGUCCACUCCAAGUCCCCUGGAUCACGUUUGUUCCAAAAUAACUCUCCUGAAGGUUUCAUUCUGUUUGGACUCCGUUUGAUAUUCCUUUUCUGCGAAACACUGAAAUAGGCAAAAAAAACA